rnacentral:lncRNA from 1 species
AACCCAAAACAAAGUCGCCGGACUUGGGAGCCGACGGUUGAGGUAUGUAGUUGUAAUGUUUGUUUCAUAUGGGGGAAAUCUGUAAACAGAGUACAAAUACAAAGAGUUAUAAGUAAAACAAAUAGCUACGAUAAACAGAACAAAAAUGACCAGAGACGGAACUUGGAAGCAAAGUGACGUUCAAAAGCAUGUCCCGUCCAAAGUAUCCGGCCACGGUAAUCGUCACGUCAGCAACCACAGUAGUUUAAGGCUCCGUCGAAAGCAAACAUCCUUUAUAAGUCCAAGUCCCUCUCGACAGCCUCGAGAGCAACGAUAAGUUAACAUCAAGAAACAUUUCAGAUUACAAGUGUAUGAACUAUUUAGGGUUUAUAUCUCGUUUCUUACCUUCAAGAACUUCUGCAGAGACAAAUAUGAUGGGUCAAGAGCAAACUUAUUGUGGCACAUUGUACGGAAAACGAAGCUGAAGCUGAGAAGUAUUCCGACACAAACCAUAAUCUCCGAGACCAACAAAAUUUGCCAGCGAACCAAAACAAGUUUAUGAUUUUAGGUAUCUUGGAAGACAAGAUUAACAAACCAAAAAUGUUGGUAAAACAAGAGGUUUGGUUACUUGUCCUCCCACUUUUAAAAUGAAAAGUUGUUUUUAAAUUGACUCCGGGCCUAGAGAGAUUAUGGGCAUAACGAGAAACUUCCAAUGUUAACCAAAACAAAUCAACAAAAGGGGGAAGUUAAAUGCAGGUCUUCGAAGAUGUUACCGAUAUAGCUUCAAAUGACCAUGUUUACAGGUAGAACCGUGAGACCGAGACUAGCCAAGAAGAUCGCAAUCGAACUUGUUGACCAACCAAAGUAGUAAGUGGUGAUGAUACUAGAUUCAGAGAGAAGAAUCUCCAUUGCAUACCUAACCAUGAAGUAUAUCAACAGUUUUUUUUUUUGAAGAUUGAAGUAUAUCAAUAGUUGAACCUGAAAAUCGAAAAAAAAACAAUCAAUAUAGCACAAUGCAUUUUCAGUUUCUCAGAGGUUUAUUUUUACCUUUACUGAAGGUGUAAGUAACCUAUAGGCAGAAACAAUAUAUGGAUUUGCAGGUGUACGUAAAUCCUCUAGUAGUAAUAUUUAGUUAACAAACACAUGCUUGUGACUUACACAACAAACUUAUAGUUAUAGCCUUAUAGGUUCUUUAUCUUGCCUUGUACGUAUCUCGUAGCAUUUCAAUUGAAAUGAUCUUUACAUUAUGUAGUGAUUGAUUGACCGACAGCGUAUCUUUUAGGGAAUACUACCUCAACGGAAUUUAGUGAUUGCAAUGUGGGACUUGACCACAACCUACCGCAUUCUCGGGCUGAUACUUGAUACAAACCAAAAUCAUUUCGUACGUAAUCGCUUCUUUGUUGGAUCUAUGGCCAUCUAAACCAUUAUUUAUUUGCAUGGCAUGAAAGGUUAAAUUUGAAUGCAAUCACUAACAUGUUCUAAACUUCUAAUACCACUUAAAAAUCCUUUACAAUUUUUUUUUAAUAAUUAUUGGUUAGAUUUAUCCUAAACUUAAUCUCUUUAAUUAUUCUUUUAAGUAUUAAAGCUUGGAUCUCUGAGAAUGACAAAGUGAAAAUAGAUAAGAGGAGUACAAUACCAAAAACACGAUAAGAAAACAAAUAUUCAAACUUCGUUUCUGUUCUUUCUUUUGGUACCUUCUUACUCUAUGAUCAUUUUUCUCUCUUUCUCAUGCUUGUUCUUUCUCUUCUUGCAGCUCUCUCCCUUCUUGGUUGCUGUUGAGAUUUUGCUUACCUCUCUCUCUAAAUAUGUAGUGUAUGACCUAUGUGUUAAUCUGCCAAUAAUUAGAUUAGGAAAUUUAUAGUGUCUAUAAAUCAUUGGACCCAAUACCAUUCACAACUUGCAAGAUAUUCAAUAUUGUUCCAAAACUAAACUAGGCAAAAUUGACUCCGUGAAAUAUAGGAUCGAUAGAUCUGACCUACAAAAUCUCACGAGAACCAUGCUUCAGCGCUUUUGGGGAUUUCUGCCAUGCAUCGACCGAUUUGUAUCUUGCGAUUUGAUCGGUCAUGACUCAUGUUACCAAACACACAAAAUCAACAACGAGAAAUCUCAAUCAAAUUUAAGAUUUUCUAUAGCAGUCUCAUAAAUAAUGGAAAAGCGAUUGACUAAACAACAUUGGAUGCUUCAUGUUAGGCUUAGUCAUAAGAUUUGUUAUUAGGUGCACCUAAUCGUGUUAAUAAAUCAUAUGAUUGAUCAACUUGCAUUUUAUUAUCAUACAAUAUUCAUUUUGACAUUUAUUAGAAAAUUACUGCAAUUACUUGCCAACAAAAUGUUCUUUUUGGGGGAAACAAUAAUUCAGCUAAAAAAAAAAAAAAAAAACAAAAACAAUAAUUCAGCUGAUAAUUUUGACUAUAAAUAAUUUAGAGACAGAAUGCGAGAGGCGUUGACAACACGUACGACGAGUUCAUGCACGAGAAACGUUGACAAAGUCAACAACUACUGUCCACUCGCAGUCUACUGUAUAUGACUACUAACUAAGAUUCAUGUGGGCUCCACAUUAUAUACUUAUGACAUGUGGCAAAAUCAAAUGACCUUUGCUCUGAUGCCUCUUCGGGCUCUCUGAGCUCAAUGUCUUUUUAUCAGUUGCUAAGAUCCACUCUCAGAAUAAUAGCCCCUGAAUUUUAUUUUUUUGAACUUUAUAAUAGCCUGUGAAAUUAAUGUUUAACAACAAUUAUUUUGAAAUAGAAUAUUGAAAUUACGAAGAGAUUAAUGAAUUAUAAACCUCUGAAAUUUGAUAAAAAUAUUAAUUUCUGAAAGAUUCAAUGAAACACGAUUAAUCAUUUAUAAGUUUAGACCAAUUCUUUUUGAUCAAAAAAAAAAUGCUUAGACCAAUUCCUAAUUGUGAACUAAUUCAUUUUUUUUUAACUUAAUACUGCCAAUAAUAUUUUUAAUUUAAAUAUUUAGCUUACAUCUAAUUAGAUUUUAGUUUAAAUAUGGGGAUUAGUAACUCAAUUAUUAGGCAAGUGAAUGUGUUAAGUGUUAAGUGUUAGUUAAUAAGAGAAAUUACAAAUAAAUAAUGUUCAAAAAAAAUUACAAAAAAUUAAUAAUGGAGGUAAACAAAAUUUCCCGAGAAAAGAGUAUAAAACACACGCAAAUGAGGAGCGUGGUACUUAUCAAAAACACUGUUUUACACUCGUGCGACUACUUAACUCUUGACAAUCCCUCUCUCAUACACACUCUCUGCAAAUGAGCAAACUCAGGCGAGAAGAAACACCGACGUUUCAUUCUCCGAGAUAAGUUUCGAGGAUGAGAAAAGCUUCACGGUGGUUUAGGAAUCUAUUCGGACUUAACAAACCCGACCCGGGUUAUCCGGAUCCAUCCAUCGUAACACCUUCUCGCUCUUUUCCAAAACGUCGAUGGAGCUUCGUCAAGUCCAAACGCGAAAAAGGAAACGCACCGCCGAAUCAUCAUCCUUCUCCUCCUCCUCUGCGGAGUUCGACGCCUCCACCGUCGUACCUUCAAUCUUCUCCGUCAGACGGACGGCGGUGGAAACAGAAGCUGGUACGGGAGGAAGAAGGAGACAAGGAGUCCGACGACCAAGAGGUUGCGUUGGCCGCCGCGACUUCCAUUGUUGCUGAAGCCGCCGUCGCUGCCGCCGCUGCGGUCGUCAGGCUAACGAGCACGGCGAAUUUUAGCAGCGGCUUCAACGACGUUGUGGCGCAUGUUAGCAGGUUCGACCGAUACAGAAGCGGUCGCGACAGUCUUGCGGCCAUUAAGAUACAAUCUACAUUUCGUGGUUAUUUGGUAAUUUUCUUUCUUUCUCUUUUAUUAUUUGUUUUGCAAAUAUUUAUUUGGUACUCUUUAUCGAAGUUUAAUUUACAGAUUAUCAAAUAUCAACUUUUGGAGAACGUACAUAAUUUGCUUUUUAAUUUAUUCCAUUUUUACAUAUGAUGAUAUGAUAGACGAAAAUUAACUGGUUAUAGAUUUCUUAAAAAAGUUACGGGGAUGAAUAUUCUUCGUAUAAAUUAAACAUCAACAAUAUGAUCCAUUGGAAGCAGUUGCAAUUUUUUUCUAUUGCUUUGUGACAUGAUUAAGUUCUAAAAUUUUAUAGGUUAUAGACAGUUUAGUAAAAAAAUUUAGAAAAUUCGAAUAAAAUUAUGAGCCUAUGGUUUGCAUAUAUCUCUUAAAAAAAGUUUUGGGACAAUGUUUAACUUGCAUCUAUGCAUCGGUUAUUACCGCAGAAGUAGGCUAUAUUUCAAUUCAUGAUAGGCUAGUUAAUAUAUGUAUAUCAGUCUUUCGAUUCAUGCUUAGUGUGUGUAAGCCAAUUCAGACCCACAUGUUUGCUCAUCGACCUAAAAGUCUCGUUGUUCAUUAAUAUUGUAGAGAGGUUGACAAUUCAUGUAAUGAUGUAAAUGUCUUCCUCAUAUUUGAAAGUUCAAUUUCCUGAAGGGUCAACUUUUUUUUGUCCUUCUUUUGGCGCCAACUUCUAUCAGAAGUAACGCUUAUUUAAAAUUCAAUAUGUUUUGUGGUCCUAUCUAUUAGGCCUACUAUCUAUAAUGAAAGCUUGAGGUCAAGACUCACAGGUCUUUUUUUUUGGAAGAAUUCAAUUUAAAUCAAUGUUUUUAAAUUGUUUGAUUAAUGUUAAUCAAGGCAAAGAGAGCAUUAAGGGCACUCAAGGGAUUGGUCAAGCUUCAAGCUAUAGUUAGAGGCCAUAUCGAACGAAAGAAAAUGUCGGUCCAUCUGCGUAGGAUGCACGCUUUGGUUCGAGCUCAGGCUCGUGUCCGUGCCCGUCGUGUUGUUGUAUCGUCUGAAUCCUCUUCUUCUAAAUCAAACAACACCAAAUCUUCUCACUUUCAAAACCCCGUAAGCCUCUCGUUAAAUCCCUUUAAGAUUUUGUUCUUAUAUAACCCACAACAUAUCUUGUAAUUCAAGGUUCCUUUUUAACAUCUAUAUAGAUUGACAAGGGUCCAACAACGCCGGAAAAACUAGAGUAUUCGAUCUCUUCUCGCAGCUCCAAGCUCGGUCAUUCUCAUCUUUCCAAGGUAUUACAUUUUCAAUUUCUGUUUGAAUUCAUGUUAGUUAGGCUUAUUCAUUUAACAUUUAACUAAAAGAUUGUGGAAUAAAAUUUCAGAGGAACGGUUCAAAGGCAAGGGGCAACAGACCUGACAUUUUCUACUCAUCUCACCUCGUCCUAGACAACUCAGGCUGGUCUGGACCAGUUUACGCCAUGCCAUUUAGCCCAUCCUCGUCACACGAAGAGACCGUAAGCCAGUUUUGCAAUGCAGAGAACAGUACUCAGUUAUACUCAGCUACAUCUAUAAACAAACCCAGUGUUUUCACGACUAGUUCUAUUGCACCGAGUGAAAGCACCAAAAGCUGCUGCUACACAGACCAUCCAAGCUACAUGGCUUGCACAGAGUCCUCUAGGGCUAGGGCACGGUCUGCUAGUGCCCCAAAGUCGCGACCGCAGUUAUAUCAUGAGCAGUCUUUGUCUAAACAGUUUGGUGAUGCUCUGCAAACUAGUUUCAUGAACAAGGCUUAUCCCGGUUCAGGUCGCUUGAACCGGCUCGGGAUGCCAAUUGGUUAUAGGUACUAAGAAUAGUUGUUGAAUCCGUUUUGUACUAUAUGGUUCGGGUUGUGAUAGUAAUCAAAUGAAGUGGAUGACCGGUUAAACCUGGUUUUGUUGUAGUCCAGUGGAUUGAUUUAUGCAUAAAAUGUAUCAAGGUUAAACCUUGGAAUGACAAAUAUUUCUGUAUUCAAGUAGACAAAUUGGUAAAAAAAAAAGAAAAAUGGGUGAUUUAUUCAAAGAUCCAAAUUUGAUCAUACUUCACAGGCCGCAGAGAAUUGACCUCAAAACCAAAUUUCUCAUGUUCUGUACCUAUCCUGAAAACUCAGAAUGUCAAGUUAGCGAAAUGGAACUUCUUCACAAACAAAGUACCUCCAUUUCUCUUUUGGUUUGCAUCCAGAGGCAGUGAGAUCCUCUCUCGUCAGCGGCUCCUCCGACGCAACACCAGCCUCUUCUGUCGGAGGGCUUGCCUGCCGCAACGAACAAUUGACUUCCUCUCUUAACAAAAUGACUUAUAUAGAGGAGCAAUGAUUUAGUAGAUAAGAGUCCUAGAGUAGGAGCUAAAAUAAGCUUCUUUCAUCCUCUUAACACAUAUACCACAUUAUCAGAUAAUCAUCUGUGUAUAUAUAUAUCUUACAAAUCAAAACUCACACGGCAACAACCAAAUCAGAGCUAAACUCGUACUCCAACCAAACAAAUCAACCACUGACCGAUUUAUUAAUCUUGCACAAUGUAGUUUAUGGUAUAUAUGUGUGUGUGAAAUAUGAUACACAUAUUUAGCAAGUAUGUUUGCGACACAUGAAUAUACAGUAAUCUUUAUACAUAAAUGGCGUAAGCUAGUGGUUUGUGUGUAUAUAUAGGCUUCGAAUGUUACAAUCUGCACCGCAUUGAAGUUAAUAGUAACAAGGAUCUUUACAUAUAUAAUAUAUCUAUACAUAUUUAUAACUGUUAGAACCGCACUGCAGUUGAACCGUUUGUCCCACAUCACUUAAUCCACGGUCAUUAUUCAGAAUCUAUAUUUUAAACUAAUCUGUCUCACAAUGAUCUAAAAUAUUUUUGACGCAUAAUACAUGAAUUAGUUUUGUUGUCGCAAACCACAUGAAUCAUGAUACUUAACUACAAAUCCAGGUGGUGCAUUAAAUUAAUCAUAAACUCAAUUAAGAUAAUUUUAUAUCAAUUCUGUAUUCUUUGUACUGUUACAACAACAAAAAUUCUCUAUUUCUUUGUAGUCGUCGGUUUUCUAUUUUUUAUACUGAUACAUUAUAAACUUCACAAUCUUUCCAAUACUCCAUCUGUUUCACUAAGAUAGAUGUUUCACAAAAAAAAUUGUUUCAGAAAGAUAAAUUUUUAUGUUUUCUAUAAAAAAAUUGCAAACUUCAAUAAAAUUAAUUGAUUUUAUUAAGUUACUAUUGGUUAAAAGUUAUUGAAAUUUAAAAAUUACAGAAAAUGAUAUAUUUAUUAUAGUGAUUUAAUGUGUUUUUUUAAUAUGUAUGAAAACACUAAAAAUUCUAUCAUUCUAAAACGGAAGGAGUAUUUAAUUAGAAUGAAAUAAUGAAAAGAAUGUGUCACUAACCACGUGAUUUCAACUAAAAUACUAAAUAAACAAAUAACCAUGGCGAAGGAAAAAGACUUUAGAAGUGUGUCAUAAUCAUAAUGCUAUUGGGUUGAUUGUGCAAGAGAUUUUUGUUUGCUGGAACAAAUUUUGGCGUCAUAUUUUUAUAUUUCCUAAUUCUUAGUAGGUGGAACCAAUUUCACUCUAUAGUCUUCUAUAAACAAAUGAAUGAAAAACAUGUGAAUGGUAGAUGAAUCACCCCAUAAAAUUGUUGUGAACAUUCGGAUUAGAUUCUAUAGUAUCAAAACAAUGACAAAUAUUACAUGUUUGUAGACCGCUAAUGACCAACUAAACAUUUUAAUGUAGACCUCAAAUCAAUGAUGGUUCUAUACACAAAUUAAUGAUGAUUUUAUACAUAUUUAGAGUUUGUAUAUUAGUUAGCAUAAUACAAAACUCAAUAGAGUUUAGUUUUCGUUUCUAACUAAAAUAGGAUAUAUAUAUAUAUAUAUUACUAUUAGAAAGCCAGUAAACCCAAAUUGCAGGGAGAACCACAAUUUUAAGAUUUUAAUAAUAUGAAUAAGUGUUUUUGUUGUUGUAAUACUGCAAGGCAUUUUCAUUUCCACUUUAUUUCAACUCUAAAAUAUAAUUUAGAGUAAAAAUGUUCCAAUAGUACUUUAUUUUUCACUCUAUAAUAGAAUAAAAAAUGAGUUUACUCUAUAUAUAGAGUAAGUUGUUGUUUUUUUGUUUAUCAAUCUAUUUUUCACUUUAAAAUAGAGUACUAUUAAAGUAUAAUUCAACUAUAUUAUAGAGUUAUACUAUUCUAAAAGUAAAAAAUAGAGUUAUUCAUUGGAUGGUCUGGCAUGUUCGACAGAUUGAUUUAAAAUGUUUAGCUGAGACACUAAUCAUGACAUGAGGAGUACGAGGACAAGAGUAGAAUAUAGUCAAACUAGGGUCGGCCCGCCCUACGGACGGGAUGAUAAUUUAAAAAUAAUUUAAAUAGUUAGAAUAAAUAUUUUUUUUGUUUAAUAUUUAUUUUUAUUUUAAAAUGUUUUCUUCUAUAAGAGUAUAAAUCAUUAUUUUAUUGAUUGUUGUUCUUUAUUCAGUUCAUUCUCAUUACAAUUAACUAAACUUUUUCCUUACGAUUAAUAAAACUGUUUAUUUAAAGUUUUAAUCUGUUUUUAUUUUGAUGGUGUAGAAUUUUUGAAUUAAAAUGGCAGUUAUCUUCACUAUUCUUUGAUAAAUAACAUUAUAUUUUUAAUAUUUAUUUUAGUUUGAAAUGUUUAGUUUUAUAAUAUAUAGUAAUCAUUAUUUACUAUUAUAGAAAUGUGCACAUUAGUAUGUGUAUACAUAUAUAUAUAUAUGUUGGAGAAAAAGACAUAGACGAAUUAUUAUAAAAAUAGUUAUUUUUUAUCUGUGGCAUACAUAAAUCCACUAAUAUGUUUUAUCCUAUAAAUUAUUCAGAUUGUGUAAUAAACUUUCUACUAUAUAAAUAACAUUAAAAAUUUUGUAACGCUACUAAUGUACACAAUUAUUUUUUACAUUUGUGAAUAAUUUGAAAUCAUAUAUCUCAAACCAAUCAGCUUCUUUCUAGAAAUAUUUCCUUAGGAACAACAUGUAAAGUUGCUUCGGGUGUUAUUAUCUGCUUAUAUAUAAACACGGUAAAUUUCACUUGUAUAUGAUAAAUUAAACUGAAUGUCAUUAGAAAAUAAGAUAAUUUAUUUUCGCAUCUCAGAAAAGCAUGAUAGAAUCAUAACAUUUUGGUAUGCUCUAAGGGUUUUAUAUAUUUAAAAAUAAAAUUAUUUGAGUUCUUCUCCUUCGUUUAGUGAACAAUGUUUAAAAGACUUAUAAUUUUAGGAAAUCAACAACAAUUUUGCACUUUCUCUUUUCAAAUCAUUGACAAACUAUAUUAUGUAAAUGUUAGGGAAAAACAUCAAACUAUUUUGUAGAGAUUAUGUAUUUUCAUUAUAUUAUCAUCUGCUGACUGAAAACGAUAUUAAAAUUUGUUUGCAUUGAAAAUUAUUAAAUACUAAUGAGAGAAAAUAAUGGAUAAAUGUCUUAGUAGAUUUGAUCUUAGUAAUAAACAAAAUUGAAACAACCAAACAACUCACCGGAUCAACCCAGAAUUUAGAGGGAAAAUUUAUAACUUUCUUUUUUUGGAUUCUUUUACUUAAUUAAAUAAAUGCUAUUUUAAAAUUUUGAAAAUUAACAACAAUUUUACACUUUCUCUUUUCCAAUCAUUGGCAAAAAACAAAAUUUAACUGUUGGAAACAAAAGAUCGAAUUAUUUUGCAGAAACGUUGUCCUAUAGUUUUUAUUUUUAUUUCCUGAAAAGUAAACAAAACAAAUUUACAUAACUUCCACCAAUAAUAUGAUAUUAUUUGAUUUCUUCAGUGGAGAUAAUAUAAUAUAUUUUCUACCGGAAUUUACACUUGAAUUUAUAUUUGUCACCUUCUCAUUAUUUUCAUGCUAAUGAGCAUGUUCCUAUAAAAAUCUAACAUAUAUAAAAUCAUUGCAGUGCAUACACUCGGGACAAUUCCCCAACAAUAUGGUCGUCUACUAACAGCAGGCUCAGUAACUACGGAGGCUUCUAAGCUCCAUCUUUCUUAUCAACUCAUCCGAGAAGUCGAGACUUCAUUUGAACCGCUAAACACAAUCUUCUUUUUUUUUUCUUUUUGAAACUAAGUGUGAAAAACUGAGAAGCUAAGUGUCAUGACACUGCAAGCUCCACAUACUCGCGGCCUGACAGCAGUAGAUAUAAUCAAACAACGAUCUGUGACUCUGAGAUGCUCCAACGCGACGAACUCCUACGAAGUUUAAAAGUUAAAAGGUCACAGGCGAAGAAGACAAAGUAGAGCAGUGGUUUUCUGUGACUCUAAGAAAUAAAUCCUAACGGUCUCAAAUAGAACAAAAGCUUUUCGCUAAACAUUAACCAGAUUAAUUGCAAAAUCACUGUAACUCAGGAAAAAGAGAAGAGGACAAAUCUCGGAAGAGAGACAAUGUUAGAAACAAACAAUUUAACAAUUAACACCAAAGCCUAUCCAAAAUUAAAGAUAUGAUCCACUACAGAACAUCAAAAGAUGAAAGCUUACAACAAUCAAAACCCGUAAGAAAGGUACAUAUAGUUUCAUGCAGUUCUGGAGUGCCUCUGUUUCUUCUUGAUCCAUUUGCAGUGCUUAUCUAAAUAUACAGCAGUGAACUCUAAUCACUAACAUCUAAGCAAAAAUACAAAAUAUAUAGAAACUGAAAAGAAGAUGAUGAGAAUAUACCCAGAUUUGGUUAAUUGUCGUUGCUUUGUUUUUCUUGGUCCUUCCUAUACGAAAUUGACAAAAGUCAUGUACGUAGAGUAGUUAAUUAGAAAGAAGAGAUGGAGGAUACUUAAAUUAGAGCUAGCCAUUUUCCAGAAAAUAAAAGGAUAUAUAUGUUUGAAUAGGUUGGUAGGAUGAUUUCGAGAAGAGGAAUGGUAACCUUUUUAUACUGAGAUUUCCACGAGAGAAGCAGAAAUAAAUGUAGAUCGUGUAUGAUUGAAUCAAGGAGGCCUUUAAGAAGACGAAGGUGAAACUGAUUAAAAUCAGGGUCUGAGGAAGAAGAUGAAUCGAAACCCUAGACUUAGAGCCUACAUCCCGACGGCGGAGAAGAAUAACGGUUCAACCAUUGAAAUCAAAAACGACACGUUUAGAGACAGGACUAAACUAUUUUGGAGAUGGUUUUUUUAAAGCUUCAUCUAAAACCCGUUUGCAAUCUAAAGCCCAAACAAAAUAUAAAUCAGAAUAAAUAAAACGCUGCAUUUUGUAAAGCGGGACAGGUGUCGUCACGAUGUCGACCGAAUAGAUGACGUGUCCGUCUACGUGGACCAUCUGGGAGAGAUCUAAAGCUUCUUUUAUAUAUAUAGAUAGAUAGAUAGAUGUAUAUUUGGGUCAUAUAUUAGCCACUGAGGAAGGUCUUCUUCAGUUGAGGAAUGAAACAAAACAACGAAACCCUGACUUGAAGAUAAAUAAUGACUUCAAGCGUACAUCCCGCAUCGGAAGCGUAACUAUAAGACACUCAUAUUUAGCGUAGUAUAAAACAAGAAGAUGGUCGAUUUUGAAAGAUACUUACCUGUACGGGGCCGUCUUGAUCAUGAAGAAGAGUUGCCUAAGCUAGUGACUUCCAUUGCACAUAAUGGAAGGGUGCUUAGCUUAAGGUCUCCCCAAGUGGGAGAGCCUGCGUCAUUAUUUGUGGCAUUGGAAGCCUGCGUUUGCACGCGGCCUCUCCCAAGUCUCCAGUUCAAUGUUUGGUUGGUUUAAGAGUCUUUGAUUGAGUUGAAAUUAAUACAGUUAACCGUAGCUAGACUAUGACAUACUUCGUUACGGAUAAGGUUGUUGGAUCCGUGCCAAAAGUCGGAUUCACAGAUAAAAUUAGCACUUUUUACAUGUUUGAACUUCGGUGGUGUUUGCUAUUAGCUCAUCUUUUGAUCCAUCUUGUUAAGUAACCACACAACAUAUUCUUUCAAUCCAAUCUUUCUCGAGAUUUCACGACUUGGGUUGUGUUCCUCAUGGAAUCAUUUUUGUUUUGUUCCUCCAAAUAAUUGCAACAACCUACGGUUGACUCAAGAAAAGUCAUCCCACGAGUCAACGCAACAAACCAUUCAAAAUGAGGGACCAGGUGAACUAGACAGUAAUAUACAAUAUAAUUGGAGGGAUUCCUCCAGGAUUUUUUCAUCCUCAUCAAAGAUUCAUGGCUUAUAAAUCAUAAACGUGACACCAAAGGAAGUAACGUUCACCUAUAUUCUGAAAUGAACCCAAAAACAGUAAAUUUUGGGGCUGACAUGAUUUUUGGUUUAUAAAACGAGCUUGUCUUUAACGAGGAGUUACAGAAGUAAUCGGUGCAUCAUCAAUGGAACAGAGAACAGACUUAUCCAUUGAUGGACCUGUUUGUUCCUGAUUACUCUUAAAGAAAAGUCCAGGUGGUCUAGGCACUGCAAGGGAGAUAGAGCUAGUAGUAAGCAUUUGAACUAUCUCUGCCAUGGUUGGACGAUCUCCAGUGUCUUCUUGGACACAUAAUAAAGCGAUAUGGAUGCAUCUCCUUAUUUCGUUUCUUUGAUAGUUAUUUCCAAAAGACAUAUCCACGAGAUCUAAUGGAGACCCCUUGCUCCAUAGCCUCCAGGUCUAUUAAACAUUGUAAGACUUCAAAUUAAAUUAAAUAUAAUUUAUUUCUUUAGAUUAUAACUAUCUAGACUUACAUAUGUAACCAAGUUGCAAACACUACCAUCCAUCUGAUAGAGGCUGCUGUUCUUCCUUCCGCUUAUAAUCUCAAGAACUAAGACUCCGAAGCUAUAAACAUCUGAUUUCAUUGAGAACUGGCCGUACAUGGCAUACUCGGGAGACAUGUAACCACUGAAAUGGUAUAUAAAAGUUUGAGUUAAUAGAAGGAUGAUGUCAUUAUAUGCACUGAGUAGAUGGAAAGAGCAAAAAUUACUAGGUUCCAACUACUCUUCUCGUAUUGGCUUCGGUUUGGUCCAUUUCAAAUAUUCUAGCCAUUCCAAAAUCUGCAACUUUUGGAUUCAUAUCAGCAUCCAAGAGGAUGUUGCCCGCUUUAAGGUCACGAUGUAUGAUUGUGAGUCGUGAAUCUUGAUGGAGAUAUAGAAUCCCUCUAGCUAUUCCUCCUAUAAUCUUGUACCGUGUAUUCCAAUCCAGCUGGCUCUGCUUACUUGAGUCUGUGCAUAUACAUAGUUAGCAUGUCAAACAGACGACAUAUUUUUGGCUAAGCAUUGUUUUAACUUUACCAAACAGGAAAUAGUCAAGACUUUUGUUAGACACAAACUCGUAGACAAGUAUCUUCUCUUCUCUCUCCAAACAAAACCCAAGAAGCUUGACUAGGUUUCUGUGCUGAAGCUUUUCCACAAGAACGACCUCAUUCUUGAACUCUUUCUCGCCUUGUCCUGAUGUUUUUGAAAGUCUCUUCACGGCAACUUGUAGCCCAUUAGGAAGUGUCCCCUAAAAAGAUAGUGAACUACACUUAAUUAACCACACCUUAUUUAAAUUUCUUCUAUUAGAGAUUCCCAUAUCAGGAACAAUAGUGAUCUUUUGGGUAACGUAUAAGUGAUGCCGUAAUCCUUCACUUUUGAGUUAGAUUUUAGUUGUGAGUUUGACUCAUUACUAAUAUGGUAUUAGAAUAAGGUUUGAAUCAACAAAUGAUCUCUCACCUAAAUAGUGUCUUAUUUAUGUAGCAUGUAUAAAUUUUUAUUUUGUUGUGGUAUUUCCAAGAUGGUGGGUUUGGGAUGUUUUCACAUCUCAAGAAGACAGAGAGUUCCAUAUCAGAACAAAAGUGAUAUUUGGGAAAUAUAUAAGCUAUAUGGCAAUCUUCUUAGUUUUUGAGUGUGAGUUUGAUCCCUUACUAAUAUUACAUCAAAUAAAUCAAGAAGCUCAAUGAAUUAGUUAUACCUUGUAGACUUUUCCAAACCCACCUUGACCAAGUUUGUUACUUAUCAAAAACUUAUCUGUCGCAGCUUCAAUAACCUUAAAAUCAAACUGCAGUGAGCCUGCAGUUGUAAUGUCCUCCCCUUCUGCAAGAAAAAGAAAAAAAAGCUCUAUAAAACUCUAAGCAGUACAUACAAAUAUAUUUUGAAUCCUUACCAUCAUCUGCAGCUGUAGUAUCAUAAGUCUUCUUCACUCUCUUUGUUACACGGUAGCUUAUAACAGCCACAAGAAAAAGAACAAAGACAGAGAAAGGCACACAAAUUGCCAAGAUUAUCACCGUCCAAUCUCUUCCUUUACCUGCCAAAGUAUUACAUCAGACAUGACACAUGGUUUCCCAAAUCUUAAUGUCUCAACCCGAACUAAAUGAAAUAUACAUAGAGAUUUUUUUUUACCAGGCGGCAAAGGAGGACCUGAAACCAGGGGAGGACUAUUUACCGGCGGAGAGAGACUUGUCACAAAGGUUUCAUUGUAGAACGGAUAGAGCUCGUACCGUGAGUUACAACUCGGGACAAGAACUCUUCCUCCAACACUGUUGAAAUAAAAAUCCUUGAUGGACCUUUGCAGACAGGUUACACAAUCUUCACCUGACAGUUCAGGAUUGCACUGAACCGAAGUGUAAAUGGUCCGGGACGAAGUGAAGUUUGUCUUGUUAGCCGCAAACUUCUUCGUUCUGCUAUUAGCUGCUUCCUUUGCAGACUUGUUAAUCAGAGCAACCACUGCAUGGUUGAACCGGUCGGACAGGUCUUGGUCUUCUGUAAUCUUUUGAGGGUUCCAAGUGAUUAUUCUAGUUGUGGUUACAGCAUCACUGAAUAUAUUCCGGUCAGAGUAUCCAAGCAUGCACUCAUCAUACUGAAUCAAGAAUUCUUUCCCUCCUGGACAUCGAGUCGGAGCAUCUUUCGUGGCAAAUAGGACGCAGUCACCGCAAGCUUCAGGCGAGAGGUCUCCUUUGCAGAGAUAGAGUCCGAAUACCAUGUCAUCGUUUUGACCCUUUGUGAGGCUUUGUGAUCCCAUGGAGAAGAAAGCACUGUUGGAAGAAAGAGAGGUCAAAAGGGUUUGGAGAUUGAAAAAGUAAGUUGUGUUUCUUGAUAUUCUGUUAGUACAUAGUUGGCUGACAUAAGUCGGGUCUUGUAAUUGUGCAGAAGCCCUCAGGUAUGUAAUGAAGAAGGCGAGCAGGAAGAGAGAGUUUAAUGAGGUAUAAACAGGCAUUAUCCAACUUCUUAUCAUUUCUUCUGUGUUUUUUUUUCUUUUACUUUUUUCCUUCAUUGGGUUUAUGAGUAAAAUUGAUUAAAACCAGAUCAGCUAGCCAAUCUGAAAGUUAAGACCAUCUCCAACUUCUUGUAAGUCAAAGUCAACUCUAAGAAUAACAUCAACUUUUAUUGUUUAUUUAAUUAUAGAACUGAUAAUGUGAAAGAGAAAAUGAGAGAAUUAAAAUAUCAGUCUUCUUCUUUGACGUCUACUGUAUUUAUUAGUAGAAAGAAAAGCAAACUGGACGUGAAUAUAUAUUAAAAAGGUUGGAGACUAUUCUCCUAGGCGCGGAGACUUUGUAUGACUAGGACGUACCCGUUUACUAGCUUACCAGACAAGUAACAAAUGAACAGCUAAACAUUAAUUAAGCAUCAUAAUUAAAGUAUUAGUGACCAUAUGAAAGAUUGAAAUGAUUGGACGAUGUGAGAGGAAUUUUUUUGAACGCGUAAAAAAACAGCGUCAACGUAUCUGAUCACUGUUUGACAUGAUUCUCCCCAAUGGUUCUAACAAGGGGAUUUUUUUUGUAACUUCUGUCACAAAUGAAAAUUUGGUAUAAAAUUUAACAUUUACACCAAAAAAAAAAAAAAAAAAAAAAAAAGGGGAUUUUUUUUAUAUGCAUGGCUGAUGGUCAAUCUCGAUAAGAACACACUUAUUACAUAUUGGAUAUUUUUUCCCAAAAGGUUACAAUAAUGUCUUACCUGAAUUUGAAAUAUUUUCUGGCUAAUGCUAAGAGUAGUCAAAUUGCAUGUUAUCGGAUUACCAUCAUGUUAUCAGACUACCAUGUACAUUAUAUGAGUCGAAACUCAAGUUUAGACCUUUCACAUAGCUUUGAUUUUGUUUCAAGGAAGAUUCGGACCCUAGAGGAAUGUUUUAACAUGUUCCCAAAUCUCGUCUACCACUUAACUAAGCCUUGUAGGCAUUUUCAUUUUUGUUCCCAAUAUGACUAUGCUAAAGCUAUGUGUUGCUUGCAAAUUUUCCAGAGCGGGUUCUUUAUAUUGAGUAGUUCAAACCGGUAGUGACGCUUAAUUAUUUUCAUAUCUGAUAUAAAACAACUGGCAAGCAUUUUUGGAAACAACCUCAACAAAAACAGACAUGCUGGAUUUUUAUCGAGGACUAACAUCGGUGAUUGUUGCUUCAUCUAACGAACAAGCAAAAGACAUGCUGGUGGGUUCACCCGGUUCCAACCCCUGGGCUAGUGGGUUUGAUCCUGGUCCAUUCCUAAACAGAAAUCCAGGUGGUAGAGGCACAUCCAGAGUAAUUGAGCUGGUUGUGAGCAUUUGAUGAAUCUUAGACAUUGUUGGACGUUCUGCAGAAUUUUCUUGAACACACAACAGCCCAAUAUGAAUGUAUCUAAUGACUUCAUCUCUUUUACUCUCUUCUCUGAUAACGGGAUCUAUGAGUUCAUGCAAUGAUUUGUUCUCCCAAAGUCUCCAUACCUAUAUAAGUUGUGUAAUAUGUUUUCAGAACUAUCAUCACAAUUUUAUAGAAUCAAACAAAGUUUGGGGCUAACGAGUUUAUAGCUCACAUAUGUGACUAAGUUGUUAACUAGACCCUCCAUCUGGUAGAAGCUGCUAUUCUUUUUUCCGCUAAUGAUCUCAAGAAUCAAUACUCCAAAGCUAUAGACAUCUGAUUUUAUGGAGAAUUGACCAUGUGUCACAUAUUCGGGAGGCAUGUAACCACUGCAAACAUAAAGGUGAAUUCUCAGAAAUAUGGUAUUUGAUCGAAAUUCACCAAAUCCAAAAAGUAGAUACUCACAAGGUUCCAACCACUCUUCUUGUAUUGGCUACAUUUUGGUCCAUACAAAAGGUCCUUGCCAUUCCAAAAUCAGCAAUUUUUGGGUUCAUAUCCGCGUCUAAGAGAAUAUUACUUGCUUUUAGGUCACGAUGUAUAAUUUUGAGCCGUGAAUCUUGAUGAAGAUAUAAAAUUCCUCUAGUAAUCCCAUCAAUGAUGUUGCGUCGCAUAGUCCAGUCCAGCUGAAGUAUCUUCUUAGGGUCUAGAUAGUCAUGCAUGAUCACAAAUAUUAGGUAUGUACAAGAAUAAAAAACAAGAAACAAGAGUAUAGUUUUAAGUUUAACUGACCAAACAGGAAAUAAUCAAGGCUUUUGUUAGGAACAAACUCAUAGACGAGUAACUUCUCUUCUCCUUGUAGCGAAAAUCCGAGAAGUCUAACAAGAUUUCUAUGCUGAAGCUUUGCAACAACAACUACCUCGUUCUUGAACUCUACCUCACCUUGUCUUGAUGUUUUAGACAGUCUCUUUACCGCAACUUCAGUUCCAUUCAUGAGCAUACCCUUGUAAAUAAUCCAAAUAAGGCAUCAUCAUUUCAUUGUUUCUCCACGAAAGAAGAAAAUGGGGUGGAAAAAUAGCAUAUAAAUACCUUGUAAACCUCACCAAAUCCACCUUGACCAAGCUUGUUACUAGCAGAGAAGUUGCUGGUCGCAGCUUCUAUUGUCUUUAAAUCAAAUUGAACAGAUUCCGCUAUUUUAAAGACCAACAUUAAGCUCAUCAAAAAAGCUUCUUUAGGUUAAAAUAUCAGUUAAGGAUUUAAAUGGAAACAAAAAACUCACUUGGAAGUUCAAUUUUUUGCUUUCUCUUUCUCUUGAAAAUAGCAACGACUAUGGCUACCAAUAUUAUGAAAAAUAAAAUAACAAUGACUAUAGCACUGAUAAUUCCUCCUGAUAAACUUGUAUCUGCAUAAAGCCACCACUUCACCAAAACCAUAAUUACACAAUAUAUUAAAAAUCAAAUCAAGAAUGUCUCUGAAAUGGUUACCAAAAGGACUUGCCUUUCUUAGGCAUGUUGGUGACGACAAAAGGUGUCUUUGAAGGCGGCGGUGAAGGCAGUGGUGGUGAUGAUGGAGGUGGCAUUCUAAUAUGAUCAAAAACACCAGAAAAUGUGUACAAUUCCCACCGUAAAAAGCAACUUGGCCGCAACACAAUGCCACCUCUCUUCCCAUGGUGCAAUGUCUUGUAGUAGUCAACGCUCUUCUCUAGGCAAAGUUUACAAUCCUCCGAAGAAACAUCUGGAGUGCAUUGCAUCAACACCGAUAUGUUCUUGUAACCCGGCACAGGAGCUAUUUCAUUUUCAUAGUAUUUACUAGUAGGAGUAGAUAAAUUGUUUCUCACCAACGAUGUCAUCGUACGAGACAUUAACUCAUCCCAUACACCAUCAAAUUCCUUCAGGUUUUCUUUUUCUAUGUCCACGGAAUUGUAAAGGACUUUAGAUGGCUCCAAGAUGAGGACCCCGGUGAAAGGUUUGCGAGAGUAGUGAACAAGGCAAAGAAACUCUUCACCUAACCAUGUGAAAGAGUCUGUCUGAUUGGGACAUGACUUUAGUAAACUAUCUGAGGUGUCCUGGAUGCAUUGGGAGCAAGCUUCUGGUCCAGCACCUGGAGAGCACAUCCCCACGGCGUAGACUAUGUCCGGGUCUAGGCCCAUCCAACCGUAGAAGUAGCCGUCGUGAACCGUGACGUUAGAAGCCAGAGUAAAGUUGAUGAGACGGCGGUUCAUGUCAUAUGGACUAUCCGGUUUGAAGUUUCCAGCAGUUUCGUCACAUGUUUGUGCAGAAACAGAUAUAGCACUAAAGAUUAUGAUUAAGGAGCAUAGGAUUGAUACACUGCUCUUCUUUGCCAUUUUUAUUAUCUUUAGAUUAUUCAGUUCAUGUGUGUGUGUCUGUGUUGAAAUGUGUGGAUAUUAUAAAUUUAAGUCUGAAUUGUAUACUUGAACGACUUUGCAUGCUAGCUAAUAAUACUAGUUUGAAUUAUAGUGGGAGACUUGACCCUAAAGUCACCCUUGAUGUUAGAGGGUGUUUCCGUUUUGUUAUAAUCAGUGAUUUAUUUCAAUCAGUGACUUUAUGACGCUAGUUUUUCCGCAGCACGCGGAUCUAUAUACGAAAAACGGUUCUAUCUUAUUCACAUGGACAGCUUUUCGCAGCAGUCAUGAUCAUACCAAGAUAUAGCAUCUUAACUUGCCUUAGACAUUUUUUGCUUCUUUUAGUUGAUUCAGUCAAUGUUUGCGUGCGUGUUCUUAUGGUUCUCAUUAACAACUCAGACGUUUGAGUUUUCUACUUGAAUGGACAUGCACAUUAAUAAGAAACUGAAAACUUUGAAUUUUGUGAUAGACUUGGACCGUCGAGUUCAACUUUAACAUUAGAGUUCUGGACUAACACUUGUGAUCUUCAAUAUUUGAGUGAGGCUACUUUACUAGAUAUUUCUCCAGAUUGCAGGUGACCAUUAUAAACUAUAUAUUCUUCAGAUUCGUCAAGGACUUCGUUAGGAUUUACUAAUGAAAAUCAAACAAGAUCAAAUAACUUAAACCAAGACACGAAAAUCAUGUUAAAAAUAUAUUAAUUCAUGGUUUUGUGGAAGUUGAUAGUAUUUUUAAAAAUAUAUUUGUUAAUAAAUUUAUGUAAAUGGGUGAAACCCCUAAUUUGAUAGGUUACUGUAAUAAACUCUCUUUGUAUAAGAACAGCCCUGUGUGUUUUUCAUUUCCCAAACCAAGCUAUAAGAUAUUGAGAAAGAUGCUUAAUCUUUGUUUUAAAAUGAUAGUGAACUGCCUCUUAUCAUGGUCUAGAAACGUAGUCAUUCUGAAUGGACUAUGGGUAAAAAUUAAGGAAGAACAUAUAUGAGAAAGUGACAUGCGUUUGUGGAAAAAAAACUUAAACCAAACAUAACAUGUUGAGUAUUCAACGAGGAAUAACAUCGGUGAUAGUAGCUUCAUCUACAGAACAAGUAAAAGACUUGCUGUUCCAUUGACCCGGUUCCAGUCCCUGGGCUAGUGGAUUCGAUAUUGGUUCGUUACUGCAAAAAAAUCCAGGUGGCAGAGGGACGGGCAGUGCAAUUGAGCUGGUUGUAAGCAUUUGGUGAAUGGUAGACAUUGUUGGACGAUCUACAGGAUUUUCUUGAACACAUAACAGCCCAAUAUGAAUAUAUCUAAUGACUUCAUCACUUUUACAAUUGUCUCUGAUGCCAGGAUCUACGAGCUCGUACAAUGAUUUACUCUCCCAAAGUCUCCAGACCUGUAUAAAUUAUUGUAAUAUAUUUAUAACUAUGAUCAAUUAGAUUAAGAGAAUUAAAAAAAAAUUGAGAGUUAUUUAGUUGAUAAUUGCUAACAUAUGUGACUAAGUUGUUAAUAAGACCCUCUAUCUGGUAGAAGCUGCUAUUCUUUUUGCCACUAAUGAUCUCAAGAAUCAAUACUCCAAAGCUAUAGACAUCCGAUUUAGUCGAGAACUGCCCAUUUGCCACAUACUCUGGUGGCAUAUAACCACUGCAAAAUACACAAGUUAAUAAGCGACAAAAGGGUUCAUUAACUGAACUUCAUUUGCUCCAAGAAAGUAUAUACUCACAAGGUUCCGACCACUUUUGAUGUAUUGGCUACAGUUUGGUUGAUUCCAAAGAUCCUUGCCAUUCCAAAAUCAGCGAUUUUCGGAUUCAUAUCAGCAUCUAAGAGAAUGUUACUCGCUUUGAGGUCACGGUGUAUGAUCUUGAGCCGUGAAUCUUGAUGAAGAUAUAGAAUCCCUCGAGUAAUUCCCCCAAUGAUGUUGCGUCUAACUGUCCAGUCCAAUUGAGUUCUCUUCUUAGAGUCUGCAUACUUAUACAAAAUAAAAAUUAGCUAGGUUCAAGGAAGAGAACCAAAUGAAAGUGAAUUUAAUAAAAACAGACCAAAGAGGAAAUAGUUGAGGCUUUUGUUAGGAACAAACUCAUAGACGAGUAACUUCUCUUCUCCUUGUAAUGAAAACCCAAGAAGUCUAACAAGAUUCCUGUGCUGAAGUUUUGCAACAACAAUAACCUCGUUCUUGAACUCUACUUCGCCUUGUCCUGAUGUUUUAGAUAAUCUCUUCACCGCAACUUCAGUACCAUUCAUGAGCAUACCCUUUCAAAAUAAUUGCAAAUUAAGCAACAUAUCACUUCACGAAGUCUCAACAAAAGAAGAAAGCUAGGUGGACAAAGAAAGUCUAUAUGUGUAUAUACCUUGUAAACCUCACCAAAUCCUCCUUCACCAAGCUUAUUACGCUCAGAAAAUUUGUUUGUAGCAGCUUCAAUUGUGCUUAAAUCAAACUGGAUCGAUUCGGCUUCAUUUAAGACAAAAAAAGUUUGUGAAAAAGUUCCAAGACAAAAUUAAAUGUUCAAAACAUAAAUAAACUCACUUGGAAGUUCAAUUUCUUGCUUUUUCUUUCUUCUCUUUAAAGUAACAACGCCUAGAGUAAUCAAUAUUAUGGCAACAAGAGCAACAACGACAAUCACCGCAAUAACUCCUCCUGAGAUUCUUGUAUCUGCACAAAAAUCCAAUUCACCAAGAACAUAACUACACACAAAAAAUAAAAAUAAAAAAGUUGCUCUACUCUAAAAAUAGAACUUGCCUUUCUUGGAAACAUGAGAGGGUACUGUGAGAGACGGAUCUUUGGAAACAGGAGAUGGUGUCAUAGGGAGCGGCGUUGAAGGCUGUAAGAAAAUAAGAUCUGAAGCACCAAUGAAAGGAUACAACUCCCACCGGAAAAAGCAACUUGGUCGCGAUAUAACUCCACCUUGCUUCCUACGGCAACACGUCUGAUAGUCAAUAACGUUUGUCCGUAAGCAGACGUCACAAUCUUCAGAAGAGACAUCUGGUGUGCAUUGCAUCAACGCCGAUAUGUUCCUGAAGUCCGGUAAUUGAACUACAUCGUCUUCGUCUGCAUAGAACUUAGACGAACUGUUCCCGGCUGAUGAGGAAGAUGAGAUAUUAGAGAUCAUGCCAAACAUUAAUUUUGUCCACACACUAUCAAAGUAAGUCUGAUUCAGAUUGGUAUCUGCAGUACUGGCGAUCGCUCCGCGUGGCUCCAUGCCGAGUAAUCCGGAGAAGGAGCGGUUGGUGUAUCGAACAAGGCAAAGGGUUUUGUCACCUGACCAUGAGAAAGCGUCUACCUGGUUUAGACAGUUCUGUAGUAAGCCAUCAGAAGCGGUCUCAAUACAUUGAGAGCAAACAUUAGGUUCAGCGCCUGGAGCGCACAUCCCCAUGGCGUAGACUCGGUCCAGACCAAGCCCGAUCGAACUUUGGAAGUAGCCGUCAUGAGCCGUGACGUUUGAAGGGAGGGUGGAAAGGAUGAAACGACGGUUGUUGUCAUAAGUACUGUUGGGUAUGAAUAUUCCAGUAGUGUUUUCACAAACUUGUGCAGAAACAGAAAUGGAACUGAAGCUUAUGAUGAUGAUGAAGAAGAAGAAGAAACAGAGAACUGUCUCAUAGCUCUUUUUCGCCAUAUUUGUCUUUUAGAUAGAGUGUGAAUGGUUGUAUUAGUACUUGAAUGACAUUAAUAGGGGUGGCCGGGUGGGAGCGAAUAAUAAUAUAAUAAUAAUAUAAUUUUUGGUAUUUGUGAUUUGUUUCACUAAUUAAUUUUUCAAGUCAAUUUGUUUUGAAAAAUACGGAUAUCCGUAAAAAUUAUGAAUCUUUACGAUCAUUUUAUCCAAAUUGUUAAAUACAAACAAAUCUAGAAAAAGUUUUUUUUUAAAUAAAAAAUUAUAUAAAAUAAAAUAAAAGUAAUAAGUAGCAAAACUAUAUGUUUCAUAAAUUUUUAAAAUAAACUAAAUUUAUUUAUAAAACACAAAAGUUAAGAAAAAAUUGUUGUUUUAUAAAGAUUUUAUAUUUCUUUUAGUUUAAAAUUUUUAUAAGUAAAUUUGUAAAUAACAUUAAUAUAAUUAUAUGUUAAAUAAUAAUAUAUAAAAAUAUAUAUUUAGUUGUAGAUAAAAAUUUAUUUGUAUAAAAGCGGAGGGGAUAUACAGUUAUUUGUGAUUUACUCUGUUUUUUGCUGAUAUUAAUUUUUAAUAUAUUUUUUGUUCCGAAGAGUUACGAAUAUUCGGAUUUUUUGAAUCUAAACAAACAAUGUAUCGAAGCAAAUUCAAUGGAUAUCCGAAAAAUCUAAAGGACUAGUCUUGGCCUUUUGGAUUUUGACUUAUGGAAUAAUAUGCAUGCCAAUUUGUCAAUCACUAGCAUCAUUUUCAACGGGGACUAAGUCUCGUACUGUGAAUGCAUUUAUUUCUGAUCAGAAACUAACUUCGUCAUAAUUUCCUCGUUUAGUUAGUAAAAGAUAUAUAAGAAGCAUGAUGGUCAUUCGAUUAAAUUUAUUUUAGAAAGUAGACUUGCUGGCAGAGCAUUUAGAAAAUCAUAACACUUAUUAAUAAAAAGAAUUUCAAAAUUUUCCAAAAAAGAAAAUUCAAAUUUGGAAGUGUUCGAACUUUUACGUACGUUAUGUGCUUUUAUGUGGAUUUUUUUAAAUAUAACCUCUAAAAUAUUAAUAUAAUUGAUAUAGAUCCACCAAUAAAUGCUAUCCACUAUUGUAAAAUAUAAUAAUUUAUUAUUUAUAAUAAAUAUGUUUAAGUUUAAUAUAUUUGGAAUCAAAUAAGAGAUUUUGGUAAACCUGAAUAAGGGUAAUAUUUUAGAUUUAAUUUUUAAAACUGCAGGAAUUGAAGGAUGCAAAAAGAAAAACGAAAUUGAAGGAUGCAAGAGAAUGUAUAAUAAUGCUAUUAAUGUAAUCGUAAAUAAAUCCAAUCAUUUGUCGUCUAAUAAAAUUUUUUAACAAGUCAACGAACUUAACAUCACAUCAGGAGAAUAUUUAUUAAGCAAAAUUUAUUUAGAAAUUAAUAAAAGUAUGCAUUUAUGAUUGACAAGAAAUAUGGGUAUUAUUUUAUUUACAAAAUUUUAUUGACAAAGAAAUCCCAAGUUGUUAGAAGAUUAGUGUUAUAGUUUUAGACAAUAAAACACAAAUUCAUUACCAAAAUGAAAAAAAUGUCCAAAAUUGUAGGAAUUAUAACCAAUAUAUUAAGGCUCUAAAUAGUGACCCAAAGAAUGAAUGAGAAUGGUGAAUUUCUUAUCAUUCAUUACAAUUUACACUAUUCACAAGAAAUAUUUGUUCCAUAUGAUUUUAUAUAUAUAUAUAUAUAUGUGUCUAUCAAUUUUUAAAAUAUAAUAAGUUUACUGUAUAUUUUUUUAAUUGAAUAGAUUGUUUCAAACUUUCACAUGUAUUUGUAUCUUCUUCUACAUAUAUCUUUUCAGAUUUUAUUUUAUUAUUAAAAUCGUAACUAUAUAUAUAAAGAUUAGUAAAAUAUUGUUUUAUUGUCAUAUUCAAAAAUAUUGUAACUUUUCACAAAUUUAGAAAGUUUUUUUUUAAAAUAAAUUUUCGCUUCAUAGAUUUAUAUUAUCGAGUAAAUAAUUAAACAUUUAGUUUUUGUUUAAUUUUUAAAAUAAAUUAUAUAGUUUAAAAUUUGUUUUCAUUAGUUUAAAGUAGUAAAGAUUAAUCAUUGUUAGAUAAUAUGAUUUUUGUUAUUUAAUUUUUUUUUUAUAAUUUUAAAAGUUAACAUCGAUAAAUAUUUAAAUAUUUAGCAUAUAGAUGUAUAAUAUUACAACAUUAAAUUAUAUCUAUUUAAUUUAUACUAGAUAUAAAUCUAAUGGAUCAUCUAUUGUUUCAAUUCAAUUAUUGAUAGCCCAAUAAAAAUUUAUGGUCUUCCAAAAUUUAAAUGAUAAAAUUAGAUUCUAAAUGUAACAUGACUUUCUAGUAAUAAGUCUAUUAGGUCAAUUUUUUUAAAAAAAACACACAUAAAUCAAGGUUUUGACUUCUGUUUUAAUAUAUAAGAUUUUAAGAAAUAAUAGACUAUAAUUAUUAUUUAUCAAAUUAGGGAAUGAAUAGAUUUUCCUCUUGUUUUAUUCUUUUUCGUUCCUUUAUUUUCUAUUUUUAAUAUUAUUUUAGAGCCUUAGAUUUAGAUCGGUCUUUAGACGAAAAUAAGUCAACAUCUACGAAUUCAUAUUUCAUACUUCUUCAGCCUAGGACCCGUUUACCAAGGACAAUAAUUUCGUAUGUAGAUAAAAAUCUUCGCUAAGGUUUGUGGGGUUUCAGAAAAGGCACUUCUUAAAUCUAUUGGUCUACUUCUUCGUGUUUAGAAUUUAUCUUUCUCGUUGUUCCACAAUAACAACACAGUUGUUAAAAGCAAUACACAAUUGGUGUGAUGGCCUGGAUACAAGCCCAUCAAGCAUUUGCUCGAGGGCCAAUCAGUAUAAAAACAUUUUUGGGGCCAAUUCUCAUGAAGAUUAGGUAGCAGAGAUGGUUAAAGUUGCUAUUAUUUGGGUUUCUCUUGUUGGGUGCCCUGGGUUCGAGUUAUGGAUAGAGCAUUUCUGGGUCAAUUUUUUUUUCUUGCUUCUAGCUUGCAAAAUGUCAGGCACGGCCCUGGUUGGUUCACGUGGCCAACUACUUUACUUCUCAAAUUAUGUGCUGUUCAGCUAUUUUGUUAAGUCCUUAAAAAAGAAUCUUAAAAUAGAAACUUUUGACUUAGUUUGUAGAGAUCUAUUAUUCUUCCUAUUUGUUCAUUAAAAUAAGUCAACAGGACAGUCACAGUGUUUUUCGUUACCCUCAAAGAUGUGGUUUUGGGGAUCGAAAGGAGCAUCUGGAUUCUCGUCUAGUUCCACCGCAGAAGAUGUCACUCAUGGAGUUGACGGAACUGGCCUCACUGCUAUUGUCACUGGUUCUCUUCUAUCAAAUCUUUCUUUCACAACUUGAGUUUUGUCUAAAUAUGUUUACUUUUCUGUACUUUAAGAUCUAGGGCCCUCUCUAUUCCUCUCUCAGAUUUGACUUUCACCUGUAGGCAAAAAUGAUAUGACUUUGACUGUCCCUCCUACACUUAGGAUAGUUGAGUCAUAAAGUAACAAUCUUUUUUCUAAUGAGCUUUUCUUGAAUUGGAUUCUGUCUUUAGCAUGGUUGGGACCAUUUCACUGAUAGGGGAGAGAACUUGAGAUCUGUAAAAGAACAUGUGCUUAUAAAAUCUUAUAUACACUCUGUCUCUGUUUCAGCUGAUUAUAUAUCAUAAUCCAAAUAAAAUUAAAAUAGCUAGCUUAGUUUGUUACCCUGCAUUGAGCUUUAUGGACUUUGUUUGGUUUCUUAAGUUGUCUUUUGUUUCAUUGUUCAUGUUUUCAGGAGCAUCGAGUGGUAUAGGAGUAGAGACAGCGCGUGUUCUUGCACUGCGUGGUGUGCACGUGGUUAUGGCGGUGAGGAACACUGUCUCCGGUGCUAAAGUUAAGCAAGAUAUCCUCAAUCAAGUCCCUGGUGCUAAACUCGACGUCAUGGAGUUAGAUCUCAGCUCAAUUGAAUCUGUCAGGAGAUUUGCAUCUGACUACAAAUCUACUGGUCUUCCACUAAACAUCUUGAUGUAAGCUCUCGAAACACAGUAGUUCAUGUCUAGUGUUUUGUGACGGUUUUAAUGUUUUGUAAUCUCUCAAAUCUUGUUAGCAACAACGCUGGGGUAAUGGCAUGUCCUUUCAUGCUCUCUAAGGACAAUAUUGAGCUGCAAUUCGCAACUAACCAUCUAGGUGAGCUAAGAGAAACCAAACCAAGAUUAUUAUACCUUUGUCCUAAGUUUUAUAGUCUCAUCAUCAUCAUCAUCAUCAUCAUGUUUCAGGCCAUUUUCUGUUGACCAAGCUUCUGCUAGAUACAAUGAAGAACACAUCACGUGAAAGCAAACGAGAAGGAAGGAUUGUUAAUCUAUCAUCAGAAGCUCAUCGGUUCUCUUAUCCUGAAGGAGUCCGGUUUGAUAAGAUCAACGACGUAUCAAGGUACUUCUUCGAUAUCAUGUUCUUUAUUCUUGAAAAAAACGUGACAUUGUUCGUUGCUUUUGUUUCUACUGCAGUUACAGUAGCAUUUCAGCUUAUGGUCAGUCUAAACUCUGCAACGUAUUACACGCCAACGAGCUUGCAAGGCAACUGAAGGUAAGUACAACAAGAAAAUGGAUCUAUCAAAUCAAGAACCUAUGUUGAUUCAGUUCUGGUAUGAUCAUAAAACAGGAAGAUGGAGUCAAUAUAACAGUAAAUUCACUUCAUCCAGGAGCCAUUAUGACAAGUCUUUGGCGCCACUUCAAUAGCUAUUUAGCUGGUAACUUCUCUUCUGUUACGCACAUGUUGUAAACAAAUGUGUGUAUAUACAUACUUUGGAUUUGCUUAUGAUCCUCUCUGUCACUGGCUUGAUGUACGUAGGAGCUGUUAGUGCACUGGCUAGCUAUUUUAUAAAGACUGUUCCGCAGGUAUGCUUUUAGUUUCUAAACCUCACACUGAUAAUAACCAAUCAGUAACAACUAUUCUAGGAGAGAACUGGUGCUGGUUAAAGAUAUAGACCGUUCUUCCUUUGGUUUGUUGGUUAUCUUGUUUAAUACUGGACUUUGUAGGGGGCGGCAACAACUUGCUACUUGGCAUUGAGUCCUCAGGUUGCAGGAGUUACAGGAGAAUACUUCAGAAAUUGCAAAAUUACUAAACCAUCAUCAUUUGGACAAGAUUCAGAAUUGGCCAAGAAGGUUUGGGACUUCAGCACUAAGCUAACAGAUUCACAUUCAGGAGAAAGUCAUUCUUGAAAGUAAAUUGUUUCAGAUGAAUCUUUACUUUGAUGGUUUUCAUGUGUGAUUUCUAUUUCAGUAUUUUGACAAAAGGAAAUAAAAUAACAUAACAAACCUUAAUCAUUUCAACUCUGCAAAAUGUGGUUUAGUUCUGGUUCUGACCGGUUUAGUUAUUGGCUUUUACCAAAGGAUAGAACAAUCACUUAAUAGAAGAUGCAAAAUGAAAAUAUAGUCACCUUUUAUAACAUUGCAAAAGAUCAAAAUUCAAGGCUUGAAGAGAAUCUCGACUGUUUCAAAGAAGACUGGUUACAACAAAUGAUGCUUGCAAUUUCAAUCUGGUGCUCUAAAAAUGGGUUGAAAACAAAAUUAGUAGUGAGUGAAACCAGAUCAAUUUUUUUUAACUAUUAUUUACUAGAUGCAUUACUACAAAACUCUUUUGAUCACAAACACACAAAACUUAAAAAAAAAAAAACAAGUGAUCGACUUAAAACAACACCAAACAUGCAUUAAGAUCUCACAAGAUUAUGCCUACUAAAGACUCGGUUGAUAUCUAAAUUUUAGAGAUUAUGGUUAAGAAAACUUUGGCAUGCAGACAUCUCAUAUAAUACAUAAUUACAUAAAUAUAUUCCAAGAUGUAACUAGCCGUCUUCAUCGCCGCUAAACCAUGAUUGAAGAAGCGAAUACACGAGCAAUGGACCGACAAAUGGUGUAAACGGUGGUGGUUUACUGAACGCAACCACUGGGUCUACUGUUUCCUCAGUCUUCUUCAUUGUCUCUCUUUCGCUAUUGUUCACGUUCUCAAGUUUCUUGGGUAUAAUGGUUCUCACUACUUUACCUGCUUCUCAGAAAGAAAAAAAAAAAGAAAUCACUCUGUUUUAUUUUCUUCCACGUGACAAACUGAAACUGUGAAGAAUUAAGGUACACGAGUUACCGUGUGAUCUUGAAACCGAAAAUAUUGGUUUGAGCUUGUCUAUAGGAGCAGGAAAAGGCCGCAUAAUAUUUGAUCUCUCUCUUUCUGAAACAUAUGAGAAGAGAAAGUCUAAUACCUUGAAGAAAAUACAAAAGAGAAGACCAAAUGAAAAAAAAAAAGAAACAAACAUCACAGAGAUUAAUGCGCAAGAUUAAGAUGCUGAUUAUUACCGGUUUCAACAACUGAGCAAUAUAAAUUGAAAGUCACUAUUCCUCCGGUUGUAAGAGCUUUUUCUUCAGCGAUCGAAUACUUGUUUUGAGUUUGGGGAAUGUCAGUUAGUUGUAACUAGUAGAGGAAGGAAGGUUUGAGAAGGUCCGGGACUUGGGGAAAAAGUAUACACAAAUUUAUAGAAAAUAACAACAUAUAGUUUUGAUCAAAAAAAAAAAACAAAAAAAAACAACAUAUAGUUUUCAUUAUUGCAAAUUUACCCCAUAAUUUCAAACAGAUCCUAACAUCAAUCCACGUGGCUUCCGUGCGGUGUUCCACUACCGUUGCUGGAACGAACAAUUUGGAAAUUACAUCAAACUUAAAAACGUUCCAAACCUGUUUGAAAUUAAUUUGUCGAUAAUAUUUCUAAAUGAUAAAAAGGCAAGAAAGAAGAAUCUAGCAUGUUAAUUUUAUAUGAUUUGAAUUGUGUAAACAAGACUGAAAUAAAUUUAUACAAUUAAUAUUCAAACUAACUUAUCAAUAAUUGUGAUCUAAUAGUUUAAAAUCUGUUUUACUGCUUCUAAUUCAGUAUAUUGUAAACAAUUUCAAUUUACAUGAAAAUAAAAUUCAGUUUUCUACGUGUCUGAGCUUCAAAUUAUUAUAUUCCUUUGUUUCAAAAAUAAAAAUGUCCAAUUCAGUUUACAUUGGACAUGUGCAAAAGAAGAAGCUCCACUUUCCCAAUUACUAAAGAGGAAGCAAUAGGAACAAUAUAUGAGAAAAAGCAUACUGAAAUGCAUAUUCAUAUAUGAGAAAAACCAUACUAAAGAUGCAUAUAUAUAUAUAUAUAUAUAUAUAUAUAUAUAUAUAUAUGUCCAUGACUAGAAACCAUUUAUUCGCCAAGUUGAACAAGUCAACUGCAAAUUCAAAACACACGUUUUCGUACAUACAUAUAAAUAAGAAGUGUAGAGGUCUAGAUAGGGAUCAGUAGAUUCAGUACACAUAAAAUACUCACUAGAUCACAAUACAAACCCUAGUUAUAUGACUUCAUUUUCAUUCCUUUACUCCGAACAAGUAUCCAAGAGACGAACCUCCACCAGGAACCGACUUAACCUUCGUCGUUGGACGAUCCUGAAAUUAUAAUAUUCUCUCAACCCACAAUUUUUCAUAUUUGAAAAAGGUACAGAAUUUGAUUAAUUCAGAAUAUGAAGAAAAAUAAAGACUUACUGUGACGAAGUUGCCAGAGUUUUGGCCCUGAGCUCUGUAGUAGUUGUUGUUGUUAGAGAUCUUAGGCUUUUGGUCAGAUUUGUCGUCGUCGGUGGGAUCUAUGCCGUAUGGUGGUGUAGGCUUUGGGGCAGCCGAUGGGAGAUUCUUUGGAGUCUCAUUGUCUGAUCCAAAAAGAUAGCCUAGUGAGCUUUGUCCGCCUCCAGAGCUCCCACCUCGGCUCAUUAUUGAUUGAGAGGCUUAAUUAGUGAUUUAUAUACCUGUUUAUCAAACCCUAUAGUUACUAGACUUGUUUAGCUUGAUCAGGAAAAUGCGAUAUGUUAAACUAUUGAUAGAAGAGAUAGAGAGAAAAGCUUAAAUAGAGAUAGCAGGUGGAGAUUUUCUAAGAUAUGAUGAGACUAAUACUUUCAUAGAUAAUUAAGUAAACAUUUAAAAUGAUGAGUUUAGUAACCUUAACUAAACGUUUAUGAAUUCGUCUUAAACCUAAAAUUUGUUUGUACCUUUUUGAACUUUUAAUUAUAUAGUAUUGGUAUAUUUUGGAACUAAAGUUUAAUUUUGUGAUAUUCUUGGAUAUUUCAGAUAACUUUUUCUAAUUUUAUAAAUGAAUAACGCAUAAUUCAUCAUCUGAAUAAAAAUAAUUCCAAAUAUUUGAAAUGAAAAAAAUUAAACUACAUACAUAUAAGGUAAUGUUUUGUAUCAUCAUUAAAUUUUAGAGCAUCUCCAAGAACAACCUUAUUUUAAGGUAAGAUAAACCUCAAAUUGAUAAGGAGUUGCGCAACAAAACUACUUCACUUCGAUAUAAGGCUGAUCAUAAGUAUGCAAGAUUGAUGCAGCGUUGGUUUGAAGUCUCAGCUUAAUACAUAGGAGAAUAAGAAACAUACUUUACAGCCUUGUAAAUUUUUUUAGGCUUCUUACUCUCAUGUAAAUGUCUAUUCCUACCUUGAUCAAUACAUUUAACAUUUCAUACAAAAAAAAGAUAAGCCUCAAAUUGAGGUUUGAGGGAGGUGUUCAUCAAUGGUAAAACCUUAAAUCUUUUUUUUUAAAUUGUUUGCAAUAUAGUCCUUAAAAUUGAUCAAAGUUAAUAAAAUCUACAAAACUUUAUGAAUAAUAAAACAUAUAUUUAAAAGUAUUACAAAUAGUAUUAACGUUAUAUUAUAAUAAAUGAGAAUUAUAAAACACACUAAUUAAAUCACAAAUAAAAGUAAUAUAUCAAAUUACUCAAUAUAAGUUUUUGUAAUAUUCUUAUACAAGAUCAAUUAAUGAAUUUUUAAAAUAAUAUUAAAAUUUUAUUAUAUAUAGGUUAGAAGCUUAAAUUUAUCGAAUCUAACAUUUUAUAUGUAAAAUAUUUAUGAAAUAUAAUAGUAUACAGGUUAAAAUAAUAAAUAUACAAGUUAACAUGGUUAUUUGAAAGAUACGUUGACGUUUAGUGAUUCUUUUCUGUGUCAAUAUACUUGACGUUUACGGAGUCCAAUGCAAAUAAUGACAGAAGAUGAUUUUUCUAUCCUUGUAAUAUUAUUGUGACUUUUAGCAUCCUUAUGACUAAAUAACUAAUCUAAAGCAAUUGAAAAGGUUAAAAUAUAAAUUACAUCAGUUUUCUUAAUGUUCGUGAAAGCUGGAAAACGUCAAAUAAAAAAAUACGGAGGGAGUAAUUGUAGAGACUGAAAAAAUAUAAAAUUUUGAAAUGUUCAAAAUCUUAUAAUUUGAGGUUGCUCUUGAAACCUUAUAUUUAAAGUUUUAAUGUUGCUUUUAGAGAUGUUCUUAGAACAAGUUACCACUUUUAGCCCAAACAAAGUUCCAACCUUAGAGCAAUAUUCGAGUGUAAUUUUAUGUCUGAAAAGACAUUAAAUGCAUGAUGAAUUUAAUAAUUUAUGGAGGGUGAAGCAAGCGUAUACGUAAUACUUAAAUCAAUGUGUUUAAUCCUAAUAGUCUCAUAACUAAAAAAUUUUAGCCGUCAAAAGAAAAAGAGAGAGAUUUUUCUUUUUAGUUUCAAGCCGAUGGCCGGAGGUUUCUAUAGCUUCAAUAUUGGCUUGUUUGAUUUACUUUGCUUCUUUUUCUUUGAUUUGUUUUACUUUCUAUCACUUGGUUUGUUUGAUUGUCAAUUUAUUUUAAAUCUGGCAAAGUUUUUUUAUUGUUUUUUUGUAUGUUUCUUCCAAUGGAUUUGGUAAGACAAAAACUUCGGUUCAGUUAAACCGUUUAGAAAAGGUAAUUGACAGAUCUAUUGCGGAUGGUUGCGACGGGUCCUACCGGCUUCAAUCGUUGAUGGUUCUUCAUUUAAGGGUGAUGGAGUUCUUGCUGCAAACUAUGGUUACUUGAAAGUUAGCACGAAAUUCUAUGGAAUGGUAAUCUCUUUGAUUCUAUUAUUUUCAAUAGAGCAAUAUAAAGAGUUGUCUCGUCUCGGUGACACCUACUAGAGUAUUAAAAAGAGAGUGGCAAUCGUUCCCAAUUCAGUUUGAAACGUGGUGGUUUUGGAUUAAUAUAAAGAUUAUCUCCCUUGAGAUUCAACUAUUCCAAAAGUAAAUAUGGAGCUUUUAUAUGAAAAAUCUUUGGUCAUCCACAAAAGAUAGAUUUCUGUUAGAUUACUUUGGAUCCCUACUGGUGUAUCAUUUUUCUAUAUUUAUUUUGCUAGUUCUCAUUGUUUAGAAUUUUUUGCAUAGAAGGCUUAAUAAUAUAAUCGAAAAAAAAAAUCUUUAAAUGUGUUUGAUAGCUCCAUAACACAUUUUUAACAACAACAAAAAUAUUCAGAUUUAUGAGGGAAAAAAUUCCAAAAUGACUUCAUAAUUAAUUUAAAAAAAAGAAGAAAUCAAAACGCUUUGCGAUUUCUAGACUCUAACAUGUUACUCCAUAUGUUUCAUUUUAAUUAUCGUUUUAGAUUUUGACACACAGAUUAAAAAAUAUUUAAUUUUUCAAAUUUUCAAAAUUAAUGUAUCAUUACCAAUACAUCUAAACCAUAUUUCAACUAAUAAAAAAAUAUAUUAGAAUAUAAAACCAAUAAAUUAUGCAUUGAAGUUAUAAACCAAUAUUUAUUUUGAAACAAAAAUUUUAUCCUGCAAUAACAACUAAAUUGAAACAGAAAGAGUAAGGGACUGUUUGUUUCAUCAUCUUUCAUCUCCAUCCAAAUGAUUCAUUUGUAUGAUCUAUCGAGAUGAUCCAUUCAGCUAUCUGUGACUGUUUGUUUGUCCAUCCAGAUAGCUAAUCUAGAUGAAUCAUCUAAAUAGAUCUUAUGUUUGUUUAUUUAUUUUUAUUUUCAUCCAAAAGAGUUUAGUAAAUCAAUUACCUAAAUACCCUUGUGUUGAUUUAAUCUUAUGUUAAAAUUUUUACAAUAAUAACUUCUAAUAAACAAAAAAAAUUGAUAAACAUGUAUUUGAAAAAAAAACUAAAUUAAAAAGAGUAUUAAUAAUAAACCGACUGUAACUUCGGUUUAGGCGGAAAACAAGAUUUUUGGUUAUGACGGGAAAAUGGAAUUUUUUUAUUAUGACGGGAAAACAAAAAAUUUCGAUUUUGGCGGAAAAAUACAAUUUUUGGUUUCGGCGAGAAAACGCAUUUUGUGCUUUUGGCGGGAAAAUACGUUUUUGACGGAAAAACGUAUUUUUGUAGUUUUGGUGGGAAAAUACGGUUUCGGCGGGAAACCACAUUUUGCGGUUUUAGCGGGAAAAUGAGAUUUUUUGGUUUAAGCGGGAGAAAACGUUUUUCGGUUUUGGCGGAAAAAUACAAUUUUCGGUUUUGGCAAGAAAAUACGUUUUGUAAUUUUGGUGAGAAAACGCGUUUUUGCGGUUUUGGCAGAAAAACGAGAUUUUCGGUUUUUGGCAGGAAAACACGUUUUUUGGUUUUGGCGUGAAAACAAGAUUUUUCAGUUUUGGCAGAAAAAAGACAAUUUUCGGUUUUGGCGAUAAAAAACGUUAUACGAUUUUGGCGGGAAAACGUGUUUCUGCGGUUUUGGCGGAAAACAAGUUUUUGUAGUUUUGGCAUGAAAAGGCGAUUUUUUUGGGUUUCCCGAAAAUUUGUUUUGGCGGAAAAAUAUUUUUUUGCGGUUUUCGCGGGAAAAUGCGUUUUGGCGGGAAAACAUGUUUUGCGGUUUUCACGAGAAAACGUGUCUUGCAGUUUUAACGGGAAAUGUAUUUUGUUGAGAAAACACAUUUUUUGGUGUUGGCGGAAAAACACGUUCUGGCGGGAAAUCACCUUUUGUGGUUUUGGCGGGAAAAAAAUAUUUUUUUGUGUUUUAGCAGAAAAAUGUGUUUUGGGGUUUUGGCGUGAAAACACGUUUUUGUGAUUUUGGCAUGAAAACACGGUUUUGCGAUUUUUUGCGGGAAACACGUUUUUGCAAUUUCUGUAGGAAAACAUGUUUUUGCAAUUUUGUCUGGAAUGCGUUUUUAGGGUUUUGGCGUGAAGAAUUCGUUUUUAGGUUUUCGCGUGAAAAUGUGUUUUUUGUGAUUUUGUCAGUUUCGUGUGUGACAAUGAUAUUAUGUUUAGGUUUGUAAUUUGCGAAUUACAUCAGAGGUAUAAUAGACACUAUACUAUAUUGAAUGGUCCAAAUUGGUUCAGUUGAAUGGACUUUAAAAUUAAGCCUAAAUUUUCGAAAGUCAUCUUGAUGAUCAAUCUGGAUGAGUUGCACUUUUAGUGUUUAAACGAACAAAACUCUUAUCUCCAUAUAGAUGGCUCAUCCGGAUGGAAAAACGAGCGGACCCUAAUAGUUUUGUAGUUUAGACAUAUCACUGGUUUCUUAUACACUCGCAAAUUUCAAUCAAAAGAACGGAAAGAACAACAAAAUGUAAAGUCAAGGAAUAGACAAGAUUGAAGAAGAAUUAUGAACUUAACUGAUGGCAUUUUAAAUAGUGUCUGGGCCAGGUGAUGCACUAUCAAUCCACUAUGAAUAUCGGAUGCAAAAUUACAUAGUUUUAAUAUUAUUGUUACAAAAAAAAAAAUCAUUGUUACAUAAAAUAUCAAAUAACUAAUCAUAGUAAAAUACUAAAAUAUCAAUGAAAAGAGUUUAAAUAUCGAUGUUCUGUCUUAUCUACAAAUCGGGGAUGCAAACUAAUUAUAAGAGCAUCGACUGUAAUGUAAAGUUCUCAAUUUAGAAUCUUUCACUUAAACUACGAUAAAUAAAUAUCUCAAAUGAUGAAAUACUCAUUCAAAAAUAUUUCAAAACAAUUUUUUUGAGAUACUUUUGAAUGAAUAUACUUUGAAAUAUUUUUAGAUUAAAUGAGUAUAUAUACUUUGAAAUAUUUUUGGAUGAAUAUUUCAAUCCUCAAGGCACAUGCAUUUCAGAGUCUUAGUUGAGUUGUAAUGUUUACUAGAUUUUGACCCGUGCAACCGCACGGGUGUUUGUUUUCACUUUUCUAUACAUAAAUUAUUGUUUUAGAACAUAAGUAGUAUAUAUUUUAAUGUUAAUCAUAUACUUAAAUAUUUAUAUAACUAUUUCAAAUACAAUAAUUUUAUAAUUUACAUGUUAUAAUUAAUUAAUUGUUUAAGCAAAUUAAUAUAUUCAUGAGAAAAUAUAUUUAAAAAAUAUUUUGUAUUUAAUUUAUGCUAAACUCUGACCCGUAUUUCAAAACUGGAUUUCUUUUUACCAAUAUUUUUAUGCUUAUUCAUUUUAGAUAAUUUUUUAUUUGUAUAUAUAAAAGUGUAAGAUAUAUUAAUUUUUAGACAUGUAUUAUAUAGUUUGUUAAUUUUAAGCCGUUCUAUCAUCAUAUUAUAUUUUAAAUAAAUAGUUUAUAUUUAUGAAAAUAAAAUUUAUAAAUUUAUCAAUUGAAUAUAAUUUUAUCAUAUUUAUUUUAGUAUAAUAAUUUUAUUUUAACAUGAUCAUGACUAUAAAAGUAGAUAAAAUAGGAUAUAAUUUAUUUAUUUUCAUUUCUAAACGAUAUCUUAAAAUACAUUAAGUUAUUGUUUAAAUAUUACACAGAUUUAUUAGAAUUUUUAAAAUAUAAUAUAUAAAUAUAUAUCUUAUCUAUUAAAAUAGAAGUCAUGACUUAGUUCAUGUGUGUUUUUUUUUAUUUGGACCACCCCUUAGAAAGUUGUUCAAAUUAUAUUUUUAUAAAUAUAUGAAUUAUUUUUAAUUAUUUUUUAAAAAAUCAAAUAGAUAUUCCUAUAUUUUCUCUGAAAUUGUAUAUGAAUAAAAUCUUUUCAUAUCUUUUUAUUACAAUAUAAAUAUAUUAUUCAUUUUCAUUAAAAUAAACCUUUUAAAUAUUUAAUUAAUUUCGUAUUUAUUUAGAUAAAUGUAAAUUUCAUUUUUCACCUAAUAUUUUUUAUAAAAUAUUUGUUAAUUUCUUUUUUUUUUUAUUUAAAAUUUAAUGUAUAUUUAAUUUUCAAUAAAAAACUUUUUAAAUAUCUAAUUAAUUUUGUAAUUAUAACUAAAAUCAUGUAGAAUUUUGUAUUAAAUUCGUGAUAUUAAUUUAGUAUAAUACUUUUCAAUUAAAAUUUUGAUCAUUUAACAAUAAUAUAUUUCAAUUCAGAAUUUUCUAUCACAUAAUAUAAAAUAUGCUAUCACUGAAUUUUUUUUUUUUAAAAGUUAUUGUAUGUGUACUAUAAAGUUGUUGUAUUUUAAAAUAUUAUAUCAAACAAUAUAAUUGUAAAUAUUACAAUUAGUCAUGUAAAGCAGAUAAUUAUGUGUGUAUAAAUAAAAAUAAUCACCCGCACGGUUGUGCGGGUCAAGAUCUAGUUAUAUUUAAAAUGAAAAUGUAACUUAUAUAUUAAAACAGAAGUCACAACCUUGAUUCAUGUGUGAUUUUUUUAAAAAUGGACCUAAUGGACCUAUUCAUAGAAAUUCUAACUAUAUUUUAAUUCAGACUAAUAAUAAAUAUAAUUUUUAAAAUAUUUUAAUCAUAGUAUCUUUUGAUAUCUUUUCAUUUUAAAUAUAAAUAUAUUUAUUUUAAAAUUCUAACAAAUCUGUUUAAAAAGAUUUUUACAAGAUCUUCAUUUUCAAAAUUAUAUUUAAAUAUUUUCACUAAUUUUGAAAUUAGUUUAAAAUAUUAUUAUACAUUCAUAUAUUCAGUUAUAUAAAAUGAAAAAUAAAAAAAAUCUACAAUAUUUUAGUUAUUAUAUAAUCAUAAUCAAUCAUACUAAAAUAAAAUUAUUAUAUUGAGCUAAAUAUAAUAAAAUUGUAUUAAAUUUAUAUAUAUUUAUAUAUUUUAUUUUCAUAAUUAUAAAAUAUUUAUGUUCAAAAAUAAAAUCUAAUAUGUUGGUAAGAUGGGUUAACAUUAUCAAACUAUAUAAUACAUGUAUAAAAAUUAACAUGUAUUUCUUUAAAGUUAAUAAUAUAAAAUCUUUGUAACUACUUUAAUCAUAAUAUAUUUUAAUUUUAAAUAUAAUAUAUAUUUAUAUAUUAUAUUUUAAAAAUUAUAAUAAAUCUGUGUAAUAUUUAAACAAUAACUUAAUGUAUUUUAAGUUAUCGUUUAGAAAUGAAAAUAAAUAAAUUAUAUCUUAUUUUAUCUACUUUUAUAGUCAUGAUCAUGUUAAAAUAUAAUUAUUAUACUAAAAUAAAUAUGAUAAAAUUAUAUUCAAUUGAUAAAUUUAUAAAUUUUAUUUUCAUAAAUAUAAACUAUUUAUUUAAAAUAUAUUAUGAUGAUAGAACGUUUUAAAAUUAGCAAACUAUAUAAUACAUGUCUAAAAAUUAACAUAUCUUACACUUUUAUAUAUACAAUAAUAAAUUAUCUAAAAUGAAUAAGCAUAAAAAUAUUGGUAAAAAGAAAUCCAGUUUUGAAAUACGGGUCAGAAUUUAGCAUAAAUUAAAUACAAAAUAUUUUUUUAAAUAUAUUUUCUCAUGAAUAUAUUAAUUUGCUUAAUAACUAAAUGCAAAUACAAUAAGAUAAAUAUAUAAUAAGAAGUGACAAAUACAUAAGGUUUAAACAAUUAAUUAAUUAUAACAUGUAAAUUAUAAAAUUAUUGUAUUUGAAAUAGUUAUAUAAAUAUUUAAGUAUAUGAUUAAUAUUAAAAAUAUAUACCAUUUAUGUUCUAAAACAGUAAUUUACGUAUAGAAAAGUGAAAACAAACACCCGUGCGGUUGCACGGGUCAAAAUCUAGUUAUGAUUAAAGUAGUUACAAAGAUUUUAUAUUAUUAACUUUAAAGAAAUACAUGUUAAUUUUUAUACAUGUAUUAUAUAGUUUGAUAAUGUUAACCCAUCUUACCAACAUAUUAGAUUUUAUUUUUGAACAUAAAUAUUUUAUAAUUACAAAAAUAAAAUAUAUAAAUAUAUAAAUUUAAUAUAAUUUUAUUAAGCUUAAUAUAAUAAUUUUAUUUUAAUAUGAUUGAUUAUGAUUAUAUAAUAACUAAAAUAUUAUAGAUUUUUUUUUAUUUUUCAUUUUAUAUAACUGAAUAUAUUAAUGUAUAGUAAUAUUUUAAACUGAUUUCAAAAUUAGUGAAAAUAUUUAAAUAUAAUUUCAAAAAUGAAGAUCUUGUAAAAAUAUUUUAAAACAGAUUUGUUAGAAUUUUAAAAUAAAUAUAUUUAUAUUUAAAAUGAAAAGAUAUCAAAAGAUACUAUCAUUAAAAUAUUUUAAAAAUUAUAUUUAUUAUUAGUCUGAAUUAAAAUAUAGUAUGAAUUUCUAUGAAUAGGUCCAUUAGGUCCAGUAGAGUUUGCACACAAAAAAAAAGGUCCAUUAGGUCCAUUUUUAAAAAAAAUCACACAUGAAUAAGGUUAUGACUUCUGUUUUAAUAUAUAAGAUGACAAAAAAAAGGCACAUGCAUUUAUUUUAUUUUAAACUUUGAUAGAAGCUGUAAAUUAAAAAUCCUUCCUUAGAGAUGUUUUUAAAUAACAGAAUACUAUUUUUUAGAAACAACAGAAUAAAAACUUGCACUUAGUAUUAGUAAAACUUUAUAAUAGCUGGAUAUCAACUCGGUUAAACCCAUGGUUCUAAAAUUGGUCUAACCGGAGCGUAGACUUCCGCCUAUGCGGCAAAUCGGUCUUAGCCGAACUAUUUUUUUAAGCCUGAUUUAUACGAAUGAAAGUGGUUUAAACCUUUUAAAAUCAGUUUAAACCGUUUCAAAUCGGUUUAAAUUUGUUAAAUUAAGUAAUCAUGGUAGUACAAAUCCAUAAAUUUAUCUAUUUUUUUGUUUUAUAUAUUUAAUUUUGAUAAUUUAUACAAAUAAUUUUAUAAUUAAAUCUAAUAACAAAAAUAUCUUAUAUAAAUGUAAUAUAUAUAUAUAAUAAAUCAAUAAUUUGUUAACGCCUAGACCCAUUUAAGUUCCGUAUAAUCCAUCUAAUCGAUAAUCUUCUACAAAGCGUCCACUUAUCGCUUACCGAUUUCUUGAAUCAAUACUAUUAAAAGGGAAGGAGUAUUAAAAAAUCUACUUAUGAAAGUUGUUUGGACCCUUUUAUUUAAUUCAUUAUUUUUUUGUCUUACCUUAAAUUUAGACUAACAAUAUGUUACCAUAUAUUUCUCUAACAAUAAUUUAUUCAAUUCUUUUAUUUAUUCAAAUCUCACUCCUAAAUCCUAACUAUUCCUAAUACUAUAUUUACCAUUUUGAUUUUUAGUCGUAAAAGCAUUGAAACUAAUAUUUUAUAUUAUCACUUUUAUCAUAUAAUAUAUGAUUUAAAGCAAGAGAAGUUACACGACAUAUAUGUGUACAUUCUAACUUCCUCUUUUCUUUAUAAUAAAGUAAUCAUAUCAUAUAUAAACUUUUCCACUAAAAUCCCAUAUCAUAUACUAAACUUUCAACCGUCUAUAGUUUGAUAGAUAUUAUUCUCAUAUUUAAAAAUUAGUUUUCUGAAUAUUCAUGUUACCUUCAAAAAUGUAGAAAUUCAUUGGUUCUGUUAAAGCUAACCCGACUUCACGAUAUCAAUAUUGAUUAUUCACAAUUUUAAAAAUUAUUGGUUUAGAUAUUAUACUUUUAUAUACUUUUCACUUAAAAAUGAAUCAAAACUAUUAAAAGGGAAGUUAUUGGAGUCAUGUAUAACUAUUUAUUAUUUUUUUGGUGAUACCAUUAAUCAUUCUAACCAUACAAUAUUUUAAAUAUUUUUAACAGAUCCUAAUAUUAUUUUUUAUGAUACAUUUUCUAAGAAAAAUAUUUCAUCAACAAUGUUUUUGUACAAUAAUGUACUUGAAACUCUAAACAAAUACCCAAAAAAUUCAAAAACCUAAAAAUUCAAAAUCUUAUCCGAAAUCUGACAUGAUGAACUGAAAAAUACCCAAACUUUUAUUCAAAUAACCAAAUUUUUUUUAAUUUGAAAAUUUACCUGAAAUCAAAAACUAUAAUCGUAAACCAAAAACCUAGAAAAAUAUCCAUAAUACCGGAAACAUAUUCGAAAUAUUCAAAUAUACCUAAUAAACACAACAUAUUUAUGAUCGGAUCUAGGGUAGGACCCAUACUCAAACAAAAACCUGCGGGUCCAAAAAAAACAAUAGGUUAUUUUCUCUGGACCUGAACUAAACCUAUAUUUUCGGGUCGGUUCGUUUUUAUUUUGAUCCGGAUAUAAUUUUCAUACCUAAAAGAAACUUUUACGUAAAAGUGUAUAUAUAAAAAUUCAAAUAAACUAAUUCAUAGAUUAUAUAACUUUUAAAAAUUAUAUUUUUCGAUAUAAUAAAACUUUGUAUUAUAAUAUAAUCCAAUAAAUCCGCGCUUUCCAAGCGCGGAUCAAAAUCUAGUAUCAGUUAAAACUGACACUUUUAUGAGUUUAUUCAUGAUAAAAUUGGUCAUCUUUUAAAUCAACAGAACCAUGUGGGUUGGGUCGAUUUUUUUUAAUUAAUUUUUUUUGUUUUCCAUCUCAUUCUUUUAUCAUUUAGUGAAAGGGUGGAUUAAAAAUAUCAAGGAUCUUAAAAUAGUGGGGUUAAAUCGAAGAGUAUGAUUGCAACUUACAAGAUAUGAUAUUGCCUUCUCUAAAUGGGAAAAUAAUAACCAAAGAAAAAUUACUAAAUAUAUAUGUACUAAACCAUCAUUUCCUAAUAGGACCUUCAUUGUUUAUAUUGAUGAUUGUGUUUGGAAUUAUUUUAAGUUUGUGUUUAUAAAUAACCAAAGUUUUAUUUGUAAUUGAUGGUUUUAUAUAACCUACAUACAUGUGAUGAAUACAAAUAAAAUUUUAAAAUAACGAAACGAAAACUAAAAGCCUAUUAUGAAUACAAGUAAAAUUUUAAAAUAACGAACAGAAAACUAAAAACCUAUUAUGAAGAAUGGUAAAUAAAAAAAAUAAAUAUAUUGGGCAAACUGAACUAUAUUUCAGAUAGUUUUUAGCCGCUUUAAACAUAUUCUUGUUCAAAUAUCCAUUUCAAACAGCUAUUUCAUACGCAUAUUCCUUGUUUGAUAAUUGAAAGCGUUUUGCACCCAACUACUUUCAAGUUUCAACCCGUCUUUAAAUAUGCUUUCAAUCAAGGCAUAUUUAAAAUAACCGAAAAUUUUAUAUUUGAAUAUCCCCCAACUUUAGACGGCUACACAUUAAUCUAAAAGCAACUAAAAACCGUCCGCAUAAAAUUGUUUGGUAAUAAUUUCCAAAACAUAUAUUAAAAGCAUAUGAUGGAACCGUACAAAUGAAUUUAAGUUUUGUCCACUACGAUUAGUUGAGUUGGAAGGGCGCUAGUAGGACAUCUAUAGCAAUGAGCCACAGCCACUCCACCAUUUGUAUUAUUAAUAUAUAAGUUGAACUUAACACUUAACGUAAUUUCUAGGUAGAUAUCCUUAAUCCACCUAAUUAGUCUUUAUUAAAGCCACUUUAACCACCUAAUUGCUCUAUAUUUAAAAUCAAGAGUCAAGCCAUAUAUCAUGUCACAUUUACGGAAAAAUGUCACAUGUUUAGAUUCUUUUAAAUGCAAAUAAGAUAUUUUACAUAAAAAACAUAUAUUUUUAGUUUGAUUUUAAAAUCAUAUAGGAGAUGAAAAGAAUAAAAAAUGACAUCAUGUAAAAUGAUUAAUUACAUAAAUUAAAUGGGAGAAAACAAACUAUUUUUGUUUCUAGCAAAAUAAACCAAAUAAUUACAUAAAUUAAAUGGGAGAAAACAAACUAUUUUUGUUUCUAGCAAAAUAAACCAAAUUAUUUGAUAAUUCCUCCAUUUCGCUUUAACAGGUGUUUUAAGAUUUUUUUAUUUAGUUUAAGUGAUGUUUUCACAAAAAAAAUUUUCAAAAACUACUGGUUUAUCUUGUUUGUAUAAAAAUAACAAUAACUACCGGUUAUUCAACUAAUAAAAAGUUAUACUGCAGAAAACAAAUGGUUAUAACAUCAAAUUACAUUAAUUAUUUACAUAAAAUUUCAAUGUUUUCAAAAUUUUAUGUAAAUAGUUAAUUACAGUAUAAUUUUUGAUUAGUUGAAUUACCGGUAGUUAUUAUUGUUUUAAUACAAACGAGAUUGUUUGUAUUAAAACUAGCAAGUUUUUGGUUGGAAUGUAAAACAAUUAAAAGUCUAUUAUUUUAAAGAGUAUGUUAAAUUUAAAUUAUUCCGUAAAAUUAUUGACACAAAUGGCAAUAAAUACGUUUCCACAGUACAUUUUAAGCUCUCUUAAAUGUAAAAUAAAAAUAUUACUGAAAACGUGUUCCAUCUCUACGUGAUAAAUGAGAGAAAAAAUAGACUAACUAAAAUGCUGACAUGCCAAUUUUUGAUGUGGCAAAUAUAAGCCCGACCAAUGCUUAUUUAAAUUCCAACAGUGCCGAGAGAAGAAUAGAUAAUUAGUGUUUAACAACUCUUUAUAGUUUCUGUUUUACAAGAUCAACAUGACAUUGUAUUUUGAUGUCUUAAAAGAAUAAAAAAUCUGCUAAUGGAUGUGAAGAAAUACUUCCCACCUGAUUGUAGAGAAUCGUUUUGCCUUUAGUUUAUUUUUCAUUUGCAAAGCGGAGAAACAAAGAUGAUUAAAGAAAAACCAAUUAACAGAAGAAAAUCGCAAAGUGAUCGAGCUUCUGAUCAAUUAACCAGAAAUGAUUGAGAAUAGUUACAGAUACAUCAUCAAAUUGCUGUCUAAUAAUAGAAGACUAAUAGAGUAUCUGAAAAUUAACACGUGCUCGACACUUUUUUAUUUACUGUCGUCAAGUACUCGCACUAAUAAAAAGUAGAGGAAGAGAUGACGAAUUGGCAUCAUACUAGAUAUUUUCUCAUAGUGUUUGAUAGAGAAUAAUUGAAUAAGUUUUCAAACGACUAGCUAAUCUGAUGGCGUAUGUCAGUUGGAUAUGGCUUGUAAACGGGCUUAAAACCAAAGGCCUAACAUUAUUAAUUGUUGGAUCGGACAAAGGUAACAAAAUAAAUAGGUUCAUCAGUUCAUGUAAUCCCAACCAAUUUUUGGUGUAACGUUUCCAUUAUAAAGUUUAUGUUAUCUUGUAAAUUGAGAUGUUCGGGCGCGGCCUCUAGUCACCUUGGGCACGGGACAAGCGGGAUCGAAAUAUCCUUUUGAGUAUUGAUGUAAACGAUUAACUCUUCCUUCCAUUGAGCCCGGUUUGUCUAAGACACAACCGGCAUUUACAGAUAUACUAAUACUAAUCGUUUUUUUUCCUUUGAAUUUUGAUGCAAUACUUUUGUGGUUUUCACAUUUUAGAUAUCGAUUUUCUUAUUUUUCAACAUUACGAAUUUUUCUUUUCAAUGCACAUGCAAGCUUUUAAUAUUCUAAAUUUAAUUUUUCACAAAAAAAUAUUCUAAAAUUUUUACCAAAAAACUCAUAGUUUUAAGACUAACAAGCCAAGAGGGGAAAAAUGCUCGAGCCAAGUCUUAUUAGAUUGUACUCCAUCUAUUUCACAAAGAGUGUCAUUUACACAUAUUAAGAAACUGAUUGAAAUGCAUUUAUGUUUUCAUUAAUAUCAUCUAUUUAACCAAUAGCAUUUUAGAUAAGUACAUUUAUUUAUAAGAUUCAUGCAUUUUGCCAAUAAUAUUGAGCUAAAAGUAAGUAUAAAUUGUAUUGAAAUUGUAGAAUGACACUUUUUAUGUAACAAGAAAAAAUGAUAAAGUGAUAUUUAAUAUGAAACUAAGGGAGUAUAGAAAAUUAAUAUUUUGUUUUCCUUAAUAUAUAAUUCAAUAAAAAAAUUGAAAGAAAAUAUUAAUUUUAAUAUAGAAAUAGAAUCUUUCGAAGUAACGGUAGGGGAGUACUUGUUGGGAUUAAGUCUGAUAUCGAAAUUAACAUGUAUAAUAUAAUGUUUUAUUUAUUUCACAAAGUAAUACAAUAUAAACAAUGAUGAAAAUUUCUCUUUACAAAGAAAAUAUGUUUUUACUGACUCUCUUCCAAAUUGUCUAACAUGUCACACUCAAACAUAGAUGCUAGCGAACAUAUUCAAAGAUCAAACUAACCCAAGAACUCUUCAUGAUCCCUAUUUUUAUGCUUUGUGUCUAUUCUAAUUCAACAUCAAAAUGCUUACGGCUUUUUUUUAGGUUGUACCUAAUCCGAGGUACAUCUCUAUCUAUUUAGACUAGUAGAUUUUGUGGCUAGCUUUAGCCAACUUCACAAGGAAGUUCUCAUAUCUUUAUUUAUGGAAUAUUUCCAAUUCUUCUUCAAAGUUUUUUAGAAAUCUUUUCUUGAUUUAUCUAAAUCAGAGUUUGCUUAGACUCCAAAUAACUUUUAAUUUAGCUCUAAAUCAGUUUAAAUUCAUAUCUUUAUAUCAACUACACAGCUUCGUCUCACGUAGCAUUUCUUGUACUACUUCAUGUAAUACUUUAUGAAAGGUAUAUUAACAUCUAGAAAAGUUGAUUUUUUUUUUUUGGAUUUUUAAUAUAAAAACCCCCCCCAAUUAAGUUUAUUUUGGGUUAAAACCCCUAAAUUAAAGAUUUAACAGAAAAUCCCCCAACCUAAAUUAUCUUAAUGAAUCAGACCCUCCGUUAAUUGUACGUUAAAGUUCGUGAAACAACACGAUUUGUUAAUAAAAACAACACAAUGUUUAACUAAAAAUAUCAUGUAGUUUACCAUUAUCACUUUUAAGUGUCGUAAAAGUCCCAUUACUGAGAGAUACGAGGGAUGAACCCUAAUUUUCGAAAGAGAGAGAUUUUGAUUAUCGUUAAUUUAGUUCUUGUGAGAAUCUGAGAGAAGCUGUGUUCGUGAGUUUCAAACAGCAUGACAAUCUUAACUCUUGACAUAAAAUAAGUACAAAAACAACACUUGAAACACAAUCAAAAUGUCAUAGAAACAAGUUAAAAACAACACUUUUACCACUAAAACAAGCUGCAACCACAACUCUAUCUUAACAACUUAAUUUAGUUAGCUUUUAACCAAACUAACUUACUUUUAUUCUUCUGGUUGUGUAACUACACAACCAAGUCUUCUUUCUUGACUUCUUCUUCCUUUCUUGCUCUUCACGCUUCUUCUUCUUCUUCUUCUUCUUCUUCUUCUUCCUCCGUUUCUUGCGCUCCAAGCUUCUUCUUCUACGUGACUCCUUGGUCACUUCUUCUUUUUGUGUGGCAAGCUACCUUGCUUCCACUUCUUCUUCUCUUAGAGGAUUUAAUCAAGGUUAAAUCUCAACACUGAAUGUCAAAACAAUAGCCAAAGCUCCUCUGUGUAUUUCAGGAGCUAAUUCCAUUCAAAUUUCGCCUAAAUAGCACAAUCAAUUGAAAACAAAACUUUAAAGAAAUUAGAAAAAUCACAUAACAAAGUGAAAGCAAAAGAGAACAAAACGAAAGGCAUAAGGUACACGAAUCACCAGGGAGAAGAUGAACAAUUAUAAACUUGAAAAUUUGAAGAACCCUAAUUUUAACUUUGGGACUCGCCAUACAGAUAUAAGGAAGAAGAAAACCAGGUCGUUUUUUGCAUUUAUUAAACUCUGCGUUCCAUUUAGAUGGAGAUUUUCAAAUUUAUAACGGGACAAGUAACGGAGGGUCUGAUUCACUAAGAUAAUUUAGGUUGGGAGAUUUUUUAUUGAAUCUAUAAUUUAGGGGUUUUUACCCAAAAAAAACUUCAUUGGAAGAUUUUUACAUUAAAAAUCCUUUUUUUCAAUUUCUAAAAUUCAGUUUUCACUGCACUAACCUAAGUGCAGUAGUGAUGGCAAGACCUUAUCACGAUUUAGCCAAUCCCACCAUUAAAAAUGUUCUUCGGCCAUUUAAAUGUUUAUCCAAUUAAUUUUGUUUUUGGCGUCAUCAUCCAAUUAACUUCUUGACAAUGAAAGUUUUCGCUAAUCAACCUAACUCUCAACUCAUCGCUGCUUUGCUUUUGGGCCAAAAAACUAGUCGCUCAUCAUAUUAUUGAAAAACACAUGCAGCCAAAAAGACAUGGAACAUUUUCAGUAUCACCGUUAGUUCAUAUAUACAGUGUUAUUAAAAAUGAAGUUCAUUAGCUAUGCUUUUUUUUUUCUUUUUAUCCGUUAAAUUAAUUUAAAAAUCGAUGCGUUUAACUUCAUUUUUCUAUAACAUCGAACGCGUUUAAAUUCUUUUUCAUGGUUGCUAUGGGACGUCGAAAGAAAAUAACAAUAGUUAUAAUAAAUCUCGUUUCUCUCUUUUGAUUGAUGAUUUCUUUGUUUUAUUAAUUUUUAAAAAUAUGAAAAUAAAAAAUGAACGCAUGGAUUAUAAUAAAAUAUUAUAUAUUAAGUCAUGGAAAAUACAAGUCUAUGAUAAUAAUUUUUCUAAUUAAUUUAUAACUACAUCAGAUACAAUUAUAUUAUAUCAAAAAUUUAUAGAACAAAUUUCACUGUAAUUUUUUUUUGCAGGUACAGUGUCACUAAUCAUUAAAUAAUACGAUUUUAUUUGUUUGUAAACUAUGUUAUUUUAUUUCAUUCAUGUAUGUAGAAAUUGUAGUCGACGAUAUGAUAUUGAUUGUGCCCGUUAUUUGUGGAACCAAUAUGGAUUAAUCUUUAAAGUUUAAUAAAUAAUUAAUUUCCUGAAAAAAAUAAAGAUCUCUGACUCUAUACUGCCACGUGAUUUUCUCAUCAUUGCUCUUUCAAUUUUAAGCACUAUCUUUAUUGUUCCCUAACCGUCAUCAACGGUUAAUUUCACCGACCAUAAUUAAAUUAUGCAAAAGACCAAAGAUACCCGUAAUUGCCGCUUCCCCUUCUUUGAUCGCACUAUUUUCUCCUACUCCUGGUUAACAAUCUCGAGGUUCAUUGUUACCUCAGAAUUCUCAAUAUGAUGGACAGUUUAUGCUAAGGUUUAAGAGCGUGCUAAGAAUAACUGCCGACCCCCAGAUCGUAUCGUUGGCUUCAAAAUAGAAUUUGAAGCAACGCGUAAACUCCUCGGUUAUGAGUUCAAGUUCUGUCAAAAAUUAAAUUGUCAUUUGCUUGGUCAGACACAAAUAAAAAUAGUACUCCCUCCGUUUUUUAAUAUAAGUCGUUUUAGAGAAAAUUUUUUGUUCCAAAUUAUAUGCCGUUUUCGGUUUUCUAUGUAAAAUUUAUUAAUAGUUAAUGUUGUAUGACCAAUGGUAAUAUAUCUUCUAUUUUUCUAUUAGUUGAAUUGUGGUUAGGUAAAUAAUUAAUGAUGUUUUUGUUUAGAAAAUAUAAAAAGUUAAUGAUUUUCUUAAUCUGCAUGCAUAGCUGUAAAACGACUUAUAUUAAAAAACGGAAGGAGUAGUAUAGUUUAAGCCUUAGAAGUUAGAGCACCCUCAAUGCGGGAUGCAAAGAGGGUUUUUAGAGGAAAAGGUGGUGUGGGGCCCACCAAAAAGGGAGAGACGGUUGUCUCCUGUCGCUAAAUAAACAACGUAUUUUACACUGUAUCGGGGUUUCAUAGAUACGUGGUGGUCCGCGAUUGAUUCAUUUUUUUUUUAAAGCAGGUAAGAAAAAAAAAGAAAAAAAAAGAUAGGAAACCCAAGUUGGGUAUUUGGGUUGAGGGUGCUCUUAGAAAAUCGAAAUCAACUUAGUUGUCACUUGUCAGUAGUAUCUCUCUUGGAGAAUUAGUUGGAUCUCAACCCAGAGACCUCUUAAUUAUGAAAACUAUAUUUGGAUUUGCACAAUUGUGCGGGUAUUAAUUUUCAUGUUUAUAUAUAUAUUUUACAUAAUUAGAAUAUAUUUUUAAAUAUAACAAUUUGAUAGGUUUCAUGCUGUAAGUUAAUUGAUUAUUUCAAAUCAUCACAUAUAUUUAGUAUUUUUUAUUAUAUAUAUUUUAAAAUUAUUUUUUAUUCAAUUAUUAUGAUCAUGAUCCGUAAUUUAAAGCGCUAAAUUUUUUUAUGAAUAUUUUUUAUGUUUAUUCAUUUAAUAUAAUAACUAUAUAUAUAGUUUAAAAUAAGUUAAUUUUAUACAUGAAUUAUCUAAUUUACUAAUGUUAACCCGUUCUACCAACAUAUUAUAUUAAUUUAUCAGUGUAAAAUAAUUUUAUCAUAUUUAGUUAAAUACAAUGUUUUAUUUAAAAUGAUAGAUAUAACUAUAAAAUAGUAAAAUUUGAUAUAAUUUUUCAUUUUAUAAAAGAUAACUGAGUAUAUAUAUAUAUAUAUUAAUGUAUAAUAACAUUAAUUUCAUUACUAAUUACAAAAUUAGUGAAAAUAUUUAUAUACAAUUUUUGAUAAUUAAGAUAUUGUUGUAAUGUUUUUCAUUAAAUUUGUUAAGAAAAUUUAAUAUAUAUAUAUAUAUAUAUAUAUUAAAUUAAAAUAUAUCAAAUUAUAUUAUGAUUUAAGUAGUUAAAAGAUUAUAUAUUAGCAUUAAAGAAAUACAUUUAAUACAAAUUUUAAAUGAUGAUCUAAAUAAAAAUAUCACACAUGAAUAAAUGUGAGUUUGUUAACCAAUCGGGGUUUUUAGGAGUCGAUGUUAUAUUAAAAAUGAUAUAUUAUUAAUUCAUAUUAUUAUUACUAAAUGAAUGAUAACUGAUUUCUAGUGAGGGUCUAUUUUUUAAAAAAUCACACAUGAAUCAAAGUUGUGACUUCUGUUUUAGUAUAUAAGAUGCCUUACAUUCAUUUAAUGAUAUCACAUAAGACAUGAAAAUUUCAUGGGUAUGGACAGUCCAACACCAAGUAAGAGAUGGUGACCGACAGAAACGUAAAGCUAUUUUUAUAAACAGCGUGACCCUAUGAUAGACUGCAUUUACAUGACAAGUGUUUGGGUUUUGGUUUAGAGCUUUAAAAGUUUGUUUAUUGACCAGAAAAAAAUGUUUAUUUGAGAAUUAUGUUAAACAAUAGUUUAUAUACACCUUUGUUUGCAAAAUAUAUAUAUCAAGAUUUUAACGAAUUAAAAUUUUUUGAAGCACAAGUCAUCCUAUCAAUCAAAUUCUGCCACAUAAUUAAUGUUUUACUUUUCAAAAAAGCAAUUACUAAAAAGAAAAACAAUUGAAAAUAUUAAAAGUUUAAAACAGUUUACGGUCUUCUCUACUUAAAACAAAAAGAAAGCAAACUAAUUAUUUUAACUGCCUCUAACAGGCCACGAUUUCCACUCCCUACUUUAAAAUCAACUUUAGAUGAACAAAUAGAAUCACUUUGAUAACAAAUAUGCGCACAAAAUUAUUUCAAACAGAAACUCUCCCUUUUCUCUCUAUUUCUUCUUGAAGACAAAACCCUAGAUCUAGUUUUCUAGGUGGCCGACGGCCGUGUUUCGCCGUCGGCUCCACCUCCAGUUCCGUGUUCUCUUCUUCUUCUCGCUUCACUCCCUCUCUGCCUCUCUCAGCCGAUAUGCUUGUUGUUCUGUGGCUUGGCCUUUACCGCGGCUCUGGUGGUUCUAGUCCUUGGAAUCGCAGCGAGGUUAGGAGUUUUAGAGGGUUUGAGGUUUCUCGGUUGGGUGUGGGUGCGGAAGCUUAGGUUUGGGGUCCAGAUCUAGGUGUCGACAUGGAGUUUGUCUCUUUUUUACGCCCUUCAUCCUCCUUCUCGGCGAGGGUGCGCUCCUCUGGUGGGUCUGUUCCGGUGGGGAGCUAAGUGGUUACGGUCUGAGGGAGGGUUUCCUUGAUCUCGCCUCUUGUCUCUGUCCUGGUUCUUUUAGAUCUGUCAGUUAGAUAUCACGGUGGUUCGUCUGGUGAAGGCAUCGUUUCCGGCAGGGCAGAGCAGAUCCACUUCGGGUUCUCCGAUGUGGAGGCGUGUGAGACCAAGGAUCUGUGGCUUUGUCAUCCUGGGUCCUUGUUCUGUGGCGGCACGUUCGGUUCUAGCCAGCUUCAGGGGCUUGAUCUAGGGCCUGCUCUUGACUGCUCUUUGUGGAGUGGUGCUGGUUGUGUCCGUCUGUUCAGUUUCAGGUGCGGUGGUGUGGCGCUUCUCGGCGAGUCAUCUUCCUCAAUAAAGACUUGGCAUUGGCUUGCAGGUAUGCUUGACCUCGGGGUUUACUGUCUGAUUGUGUUGGCUGCAGCUUAGGAAGUCUUAUGCAAGCUGUUCUUGGUUGAACCAUAUCUUAAAGAGCGGAUCAUCGGCAAGCUAAUUUCUACCGGGUUCUGUCUCUCGAAUUAAUUGGGUUCCUCCUUUUGUGGCGAGUAGUUUGUUCUGAUUUUGACGAGUCGAUUGAUUAGCUGUUCUCUUUGUUGUCUUGGUUCCUGUAUUGACUAGGUUAGAGGUCUUCUGUUUAGUUGCAUUUCAAUUUUUCUGCUUCUUGUGUCUUCUGUACUUCUGUAAAAAACUUGAAAAUUGGUAAUAAUAUCUUAACAUUCUUACCAAAAAAAAAAAAAACUAUUUCAAACAGUUCUUCAAAAAGUGACUGAUGCUUUCAUCGUCCUUCCUAUAACUUGAUUUUUCUGAUCUUAACAAACGAUUAUGUAUAUUCUUGAGAUUAACCCAUCUCACCUAAGAAUAUUUGGAAUACACCACGACAGUGUAAGAAUAUAUAUAUAUAUAUAUAUAUCUAUUUUUUAACAGGUGUUAUUUAAAUAGCCUAUUUUAAAAAGAAAAUUUAAAUAGAUAAAUAUAUUAAACUAUAGUUUUUAUUUAAAUAUUAUCUUUCUCUUUAAGAAUUGCAGAGUUUGCGUUGUUCUAACAAAUGUGACAUAAUGUUCAAAAAAUAAUAAUACAAAUGUGACAUUACAAGUCUAAACCAAAAUAAAUAUUAAAAAAAACAACAACAAUAUACCAUACAUAAAAACAAUUUCUAAUAGAUCAUUAAAUUUUGGUCCCCGUUUUCAAAACGUAGAUUUUGUUUCCUAUUAAAAUAACAUAUAAAAGAGAAUUGUUUUUUUAUGAAAAUUUUAUAUAUGUUAUUAAAAUUUCAUUCGAAGUGUAGGAUAUAUAUUUUAUUAAAGUAGAAGUACUUUAAAUUUUUGUUUGGUAACAUAAAUAGCAGUUAAAAAAAUAAUGUUGUUUUGAAAUAUGAAUAGCAGUAAGUUAGGAAAAAAAGUAAUGGAUUUAUUCUAUUAUAAAAAUAAGAAGUCCAUUACAUUAUAUUAAAAAGUAAUGGGUUUAUGUUACUUUAUAUACAUAUUCAAAUCAAAAUAAUAAUUUAAAAUUAAUUUAUAUCAAAAAUUCAUUCAAAAAUAUACAUAUAUUCAAAAUUUGAUUUUUACUAACAUAUUUUCCAAUAACCAAUAUAAAAUUUUUUUCAGUUUAUAUAAGAAAAAUACAAUACAAAGCUCAAUUUCAAACACCAACUUAAAUUAUGAUUUUUAUAUUUCACAUUGAAAUUUAAAAAUAUAAUAUAUGUGAUUAUUUAUAUGAUUGUACGUAUAAAAUAUUAUUAAUUAUAAGAAACUUAUUUGAUCGUACGUAUAAAAUACGAUUAAUUAUAUGAUAACACAUAUUUUUGUAACCUAUGAUGAAACAUAUAGAAUAUAUAAUAGUGACAUAAAAACAAAUAGCAUCUUAUUUUUUUUAAAAAUACAUCCGUGCGGGCGUGCAGAUCAAAAUCUAGUAUCAUUUAAACUUCAAGUUUUGAGUUGUUCAAUGUUUUUGACAUGGUAAAAACAUUUCCUUUAUUUAAUUCAUAAAUUCUUCAUCUGAUAACUAUAACACCAGGGUAAGUUGUGAUUCUCUAUGCUUUUUGGAUUUCUGUUUAUGCAUGUAUACAUUAGAUAUUGAUGAUGUCUCCAAAUUAUAUUUUGCUUUGCACAGUCUUAGAAUUAUAUGGAAUAUGUAAACUUGGAGCAAUGAUAGUGACGAAUGAGCAAGUAAUGAGAUCUUCGAAAAUUAUGGAUUCAUGAUUUAAGAUAUUUCUCAGAUUCUCUGCGAUUAAAACAUAUCUGAAACUUAUUUAUUUUAUUUUAUUUUUAAAACAAUGUUGUUAGUAUCUAUCCAAUAUCUUAGUAAAAUAUAUCUGAAACUUUUUUCGUCAAAUAUAUAUAUCUGAAACUUUUUUAUUUUAUUUUAAAAAGCAAAAGAGUCAUGUAUCUUCUCUUUAAUCGUUCUUUUCUCCAUUUUUGUCAAGCAGCUUCUCUUUCCUCUCAUUCACAAGUCUGUAUAUCUUCACUCAUUUCUUUAGAUUAUCUCUAUAAAUUUAGAAAUGAAUUAUUUCAUGAUAUCAAACUUAGAUUUACUGUGUCUAACUAUGCUUGUUGUUUUGUUCUGAAAUUAGUUCUGCUUUUGUGUCAAGUUAUAGAAAUGGAGGCUCUGGUUUUCUUCAUUGUACAACUUAUUUCGGCAUUUGAAUUUGCCGUAAACAUAUGCAAUGAUAUCAGAAAAAACACAAAAAAUACAAGAACUCAUCAAAGGAUGAAUUGGACGGAGAAUUAGUGAAAAAAAAAGAUAAAUAUAAGAAAUCUUUUGUGAUUUAUCUACACGUUAAGUUCCUGGUUGUAUUUCGAUUUUCAAAACUCUAAACGGAAACAACUUAAAAACACAUAUUAAUUCAUGAGGUAACUAAAAACAGAAAUACUACUAAAUAGAAAAAUGAACUAAAGAAUAUUCCAUUGAAAAAAAAACUAUAAGCGUAGAUUUAUCUUUAACAUAAAUAUUAUUAUUUUAUUAUUUUUUGAACUUAUAUUUAAUUUAUCCAAGUAAUUAAUCUGCAGAAAAAAUGUCUUUUCACAUCUAAUAAAAAGUGUAGUUUUCGAAAAAUAAAAAAAAUGAGGUGUAUUUUUCAAAUUCCAAACUAUAAAUAAGGUAUUUUCAAUUAUCCUUUAAGAAAUGUUAAUCGAUGUUAUUUUCUAUAUUCAAUGGAGUUUGAUAUUAUUUUUAAAUUUUUUUUGAUGAAAUAUUAAAUUUAUUGAUCAAUUUGUAAAAGGGUUAUAUGUACAAAAAACUAUUCGUAUAGUGACUCUACUACUAAAGAAACUGCAAGACCCAAUUAUUUAUUAUUUAAGAAAAAAUUAAAACUGAUGCUAGAAUUAGUUCUUAAAUUCAGUGACAUUUUUUUUACAAUUUAAAUUAUUUGUAUUUUUAUAAUCGAUGAUAUUUCCAAUAUUCAUUGAGAUUUGUUACUUUUUACAAUAGAGUUACUAAAUGAGUAGAUGUCUUCCAGCACCAUGUGCAGUGAUAAAAUAUUUAAAUUAAAAAACAUUUUUAUAUAUUUUAUUAUUUUCUUUUAUUUUUUUUAAUUUAAAUUUUGAUUUAAUUAAAAAAAGAAGAUAAAAUAUACAGUUUUGUUCAUUUUAAAUUAUAUAUUAAAAUAAAUAUGUAUGUAUUUAAAACUAUAAUCUGAUAUAGAUUUUUUUCUAUUUCUUUUGGAUAAAAUAUAGGUAUGAAAUCAACUUGCAUAAAAUUAAUAAAAGAUUUGAUGUAAAAAGUUGUAUAAUUAUCAAAAAGUACAAUUAAACAAUAUUUCUAAAACUUUUAGAUAUAUAAAAGAAGCUGAAAACGUUUAUUUGUAAUAAAACUGUAUAAUUAUAUAAAAUAGAAAUAAAUAACAUUUCAAAAUUUGUAAAAUAUGCUUAUAUUUUUAUUAUUAUGUUAUUUAAUAUCAUAUUUGAAUAGAUUUACUUUAUAGAUUAUGUAUAAUUUACUAUUAUGUUCUAAAAUAUUUACCAAAAAUAUAAAUAAACAUUAAAUGGAGUUGUACAUGUAACAUUUAUCCAUAAGCCAUGUCAUGCCAUAUUAUUUAAUGAAAGUGAUUGUAGAAAGGACAUGUGUUAAUCUAUAUACAUCACUUGAGAAAUAAUGUUGAGGGGAUAAAAUACAUUCGGAUUUGUUAGUUCAUAUAUUCAAUGAUAUUUGCUAUCAUUUAUAUAGUUUGUGACACAAAUAAAAACUUUGUGUAUUAAAAGUUUUUUAAACCAUGCUAGGUUUUUUAGUUCCUAUAUUAAAUGAAACUAUGUGGUAAACCACGCCUUGCGCAGAGCUAUGGAUUAAAAAAUAUUAUAACUUUAAAACUAUAUAAAUUAAUUUAUUGGUGUACUUUAAGUAUAUUUAAAAAAUAAAUCCAUAAAAGUAAGAAAAGACUUAUAUAAAUUUAUUAUGAGUUUAAGAUAAAACAAAAUAUAAGCAACUAACUAAAAUUAACAAAAUAUAAAUGAUAAGAUCUGCGCCUUGGUGUAAUUUAAUUAUAUUUGAAGAGAAUAAAUAUGUAAGAGUAAACAAAGACUUAUAUAAAUUUAUUAUGAGUUUAAGAUAAAACAAAACAUAAACAACUAACUAAAAUUAACAAAAUAUAAACUUAAGCUUUUGUUACCAUAUUUUAAAAAUAAUAUCGAUUGGAUAUAUGGUUAGAAAACUAAGUAAACUUAACAAAAUAUAUAAUGCGUAUACGGUCACUUAAAACAUAACUUUGUGAACCCUAAGCUUAGUAUAGUUAGACCCUACACCUUAUAAUCAAAUCCCUAAACCCAUAAAGGUGAUGAUUGUUUUCCUAGUUUUUAGAUUCUAGUUUUUGGUUUUUGGAUUUUGGUUUUUGGAUUUUAGAUUUUAGUUUUUGACUUUUGGUUUUUGAUUUUGCAGUAGAUUUUGAUUUUUUGAAAAACAUGAAUGGUUGUUUUAGAUUUUGGUUUUUAGUUUUUAGUUUUAGUUUUUAUUUUUUAAAUUAAUAAAAUAAAAAUAUUAUGGAUAGUAAAAUAUUUAUUCUGAAAAUAAUAAAAUAUAAAACACUGUCAUUAAAAUACACAUAAAUUAUUUAAAAACUUAUUUAAAAAAUAUAUAAAUACAAAAUAAAACUAUCGUAAAUUCCAUAUAAACAUAUAUAUAUAUAUAUAUUUUUUUAAUUUUAUCUCAAAUGCCUUUUAUAUUUGACCUCAAAUGCUAUUAUACAAGUAAUUGAGCAUUAUAAAAAUAUUAAUAUCAUACAUUUGAUAUUUUUCUAAAAUAAUUUUUGCACAUAUUUCUAUGGUUAUUUUUGUUUAAUUAAUUAAAAUAUUGACUUUUAAAAUAAAAUUUCCUUUUGAAAUAUUUUUGAAAUUCUUUUAGUUUGCAAGUAAGAGAACUUCUUCUAAUCUACAAGUAUGAUCAAAUAUUUUUUGAGUGUUGAGAAGAAAAACUCGAAAGUUGUAUGUAUAAUCACUUACCCAUUUUAUAUUAAUAAAGCACAAAAAAUGUAUUGUGAUGUGAUGGUGAAAAACGGAUGAUAGUGGGAAUGGGGCAAAUAGAAAAGAAAGACCAGUUACAAAAUAAUAAAUAAACAAAGACUAAUUAAAAGAAAAUGAUAAAUAAUAAUUGCAUAAUAAAAAAAAUCUUCGUAGAAAACUGGAAAAAAACUAAAAAAACACAGAUUUUGGUUUUUGGGUAGAAUUAGGUAGUUAUUUGAAAAACUAGUUUCCCUAGUUUUUAGGGAAUCAUUUUUAACAAAAUCUUGAUUGGCAAAUAAAGUAGUUUUUCAGAAACAAAAACCAAAAACCAUUUUAAAAAUUACAAACAAUCAACCUCAUAAUCUAAACCCUAAACCCUAUAAAUAGAUUAACAUCAACAUACAAUCUAAAGUAUAAAAUACAUAAAGCAUUUCACACCAUGAAGUAUAUUAUACGAUAUGAUUAUUUUAUGGCAUAAAAAAGAAGAUAAUACGAAAUGUUAUACAGAUAUGAAGAAUUAUAAUAACAAUCGUUUUAUGUUAUACCGUAUUAAAUGAUAUGAUUGUUUUACUCUUAACAAUAUAGGGUAACUUGUUUUCUAAUAUUAAAACUGUAAUGGUAUACAAUAUAUUACUCCAUCGAUUUCAUUUUAAUUAUUGUUUCACACUUAUAAACAUAGAAUAAAAAAAUAUUUUUUUAUUUACUAAACAAAAACAUCAUUAUCAAUAAACAUAAUCACCUUUCAAUCUAUAGAAACUAGAAGGACAGUAGCCUAUUGGUUAAGGUUUAAAGGCUUCUACAUCCAGGUUUGGGAUUCAAAUCCCAGACUAUGCAAUUUAUUGUAGAUUACAGAAAAUCCAGGUUUCAAGUUCCGCAGAGAGCGGUUUAUUAAACAAUUAUACAGACUACAGAGAAAAGGCUUGCAAGGGAUCUUCAACAUGGUGCAAGUAAAUCUGGCCAGACGUGGAUCUUCAUAGGACGGCUCAGGUGAUGCAGUUAGGCAUAGGUCUUCAUAAGGCAGGUAAUAUUGUCGGUUGUCGAAUUGUCUAUGUAAUCUUUCCUAUAUCAUAAUUGUAAGAUCGUAAUAAAUCAGCGUCAAAAAAAAAAUCAAUAAAAACUAGAAAAUAAAACCAAUAAAUUUUGAUUUGAAAUUAUAAAACGAUAUUUAUUUUGAAAAAUAAAUUUUACUCUACCGCGAUAACUAAAAUGAAACGGAGAGAGUAUAUAUUAUUUUUAUAAAAUUUCAAGAAUCAGGGCUGUUUGUAAUAAUAUCUCAUUUUGAGAAAAGAAUUUGACGUCAAUAAGAGUUAAAGACCAAAGACGAAUAUUCUAUAACUAGCGACCAAAGAAAAGAAACAAAUCUAAAGAGCAUUAAAUUUUCUCUCCGACAAGACAUGCUUUCCAUCAUUUCUCUUUCAUCAAAAUCUUUCUUGUUCCCUUUUCUCUCUCUCUCUUCCAAAAAUCUCUCCUUUAUCCCCGCAAAGAACCAAAAAAAACAAAAAAAAACUCACACUCGACUAAUGUCGCCGGCAACAGAACUUCACGGCUCGUUCCUCAGCCGACUCAGCUUCCGCCGCAGCCAGAUCGUGUCCAUGGACGUCAACCACGAGCAACAGCUCCAAGAACUCGAGUAUUUCCAGAACCACGUCUCCGAGCGUUUCUCCGAGUUCAUCUCUCCAUCGCCGCCGUCUGAUCCAGUUCUCUCGAUCCCCUGGCUACGGAACCUCCUCCACGUUUUCAUCUCCUGCGAAACGGAGUUCAAGGAAGUCCUCCCGACCACUGCUCAGAUCUCGAAAACGCCUUCGCUGGAGAAGGCUUUGUCGGAAAUGCUCGAUCGGAUCUUAAAGUCGCUCGAUAUCUGUAACGCCGUCGUUAACGGCAUCGAAUCCGUUAAAAAAAGCCGGCGUCUUGCGGAGAUAGCCGUAACGGCGCUUAAACAACGGCCGUUAUGUAGCGGAAGCGUUCGCAGAGCCAAACGCGCGUUAGCAAGCCUCCUCGUUAGCUUAAACGCCGAUGUGAAAGAUAGGAACAGCGGUGGGAGUAGUAGACGGAGGACAACGUCGCGGUCGUGGUCGUUUGGACAGCGCAGCAGCCACGUAAGCAAGAAUUGGUCUGCAGCGAAGCAGAUUCAGGCAAUGGUGGCUAAUCUUGUGCCACCACGUGGAGCAGAAGCGAUGCCGGUUUACAUAAUGAGCAGUGUUAUGGUUUUGGUGAUGUGGGUGCUUGUUGCUGCGGUUCCUUGCCAGACAAGCAGCGUUCCCGUGGCGCCGUUGCAGCUUCCUAAGCAUCAGAGCUGGGGUAGCAAUGCUGUGAAUGUUCAGGAGAGGGUUGGUGAAGAGGUGAAAGGGAAGGAGAAGCGUGGGGGUGGGUUGAUGGAGGAGAUGCAGAGGAUGGAGAGUGUUGGGUUGUCUUUGAUGGAGUUCACGGAGAGGUUUAGGUUUCCGGGAGAGGAAGAGGAAGAGGAAGAGGUUGAGGAGAAGGUUGAUGAGAUGGAUGAGAUUUGUCGGAGAAUGGAAGUGGGAUUGGAGGAUUUGCAGAGACAAGUGAGAGCAGUGUUCCAAAGAUUGGUGAGAAUCAGACUAGAGAUUGUUUCUGUGCUUGAUCUAAAUCUGUAAAUCUUAAAUAACAACAUUAAUAUUUUUAUCUCUUUUUUUUCUUUCUAGAUAAGACUAAUCUUUGAAAGAUCUUGCUGUGUAUAAGCUACAAUUCGUAUACAUAUACACCAUGUUUGGUUUCUGGUAUAUGAAAACUGCAAAAUUAUAUUGACCAGAGAUUAAUAGAUUCAUAGUGUCCUGACUUGUGAUUGUUUCCAGAAGCUUUCCUAUGUUUCUUACCGGGGCGCUUUGGUUCUGUUCUGUCUGCUUCCAUUAGUGUCUGAAGCUGGUGUGUAUUGUUGAUGUGUGCUCUUCUGUCAGCUAUUUCUUUCAAUGUAUGCAACUCAAGAUCUUUAAGAAAAUUUACAGAGAGUGAGAUAGAAACCUCUAAAACUGUCUGGAGGAAACUCAUGUGCUUGUCUGGUGUGGAUGAUUGGACCGCACGGGUGCCACACUUCCUUAUCAAAAUCUCAACUAUGAUCGUUACCUAAAUGCACAUCUUUAAUAAGUCAAUCAUCACGUUUGAGGAAGGAGAAGGAAACUAAAGUUAAACACACACUAUCAUUGUCACCUUUGAUUUAAAGUAAAUGUCUUGAAACAGACGACCAGGGGAGAAAAAAAAAACUUUCACAAAACCCAAAACAGCCUGGAGAUGCACGGAAACGCAUGAGAAACUUAAGGAGAAAACCAAGCUUACAUACUUAGAGCAACAGCAGCCUGUGGAGUUACUUUUAUAAUCUCAAUUGAUUUGGUGUGAAGCAAUGAUAAAACAGAGGAAAGAAGCUCUCAGGUGACGAUAAUAAGCAUAUCUCAGUCUCUUUGUAUAUCAAGACAGAUACCGCAGUCAUAUGAGAGAUAACGAGAGUGGACUAAACUGAUACCAGGGAGCUCCUCUCAUGCACUUUCCAUGUUAACCAGUACGCAUCACAAGGCCACAAGCUGCUUUACUAUGUUCUUCUUUUCCCUGUAUAUACAAAGCCAAGAUAAUGCUAAACAAAUGUCAAAACUUGUCUAGUAAUUCUAUUGUUUAAUUCAAACAGUAUGCUUACUUACAUCUCAAAGUGUAAGGAUCAUUUCGUUCAGGAUAAGGAAAGCCUUCUCAUUCUCCUCCUAGGAGCUUGACUGUAGGAAAAAUGUAAUAUAUUAAGAAUAUUAGUCAAUGUUUUCAUAAAGCAACACUGAACUAUACAUCUUUAUAUAAGAAAACAGCAUGGACAUACUAUAGUUCAAGUUUGAUGAAUAGUCUUUCAUUAACAACAAACGCCAUAUACAUAUAUGGCAGAGAGAGAUGGAAUUGUAGCAGUAUACGAUCGGAGAGAACCAAAUAUUUUCUCCAGAUACUCUUGAGCACCAAAUCUUUUAACCUAAACUCACAAACCAAGAUUGCUUUGUCACCACAAUAUGAUAUAUUUUUUUUGGUAAAAAUUGAAGCCUGGCUUGUCCAAAAUGAGUUCAUAGAAACUGCAACUGCAACUAGAGAAAGCUCAACAUCUUAUAAAAGCGUUGACGUCAAAGCUUAGAAUCAUGAAGAAAAAUAUUAGAAGCUUGAUAGUUUUCUUCUUCCUUUAGAACUCUGUUUUCUCUGUUGAUUCUCUGACAUGUCUUCCUCAUUUCUGCUCUAUAGUGUUUCUACAUGUAUCUAUUGGCGAGUGAGAGUAGAUUUGGCGUUUUAUGAACGUGAAAUCAAAUGCUCCGUGUUACUGUUCAUUAUCACUUUUAAUCAUGAGUUUCCCUGUAUUAUUCUCCAUCUUCGAACGCAGUUUCGUCGUUAUCAUCUGCUCGUUCUUGCUGUCCUGUUUCAAAGGCCGCCAUACCCAAACCCACUUUGAUUGAUCCUGGUUUCUUCCCCCGGUGGCCAGCGCUUGUAGCUUAUGCCCAUGGAGACCUCUUUUCUUCUCCUUUCCGUUGAUGUAUUAGUUCGCGGAGUACUAUACAUGAGGUACUACGUAACGUGUUGCAUGAAGCUGGAGCCAUAUUGAAGUUCAUGUAUUGAUUUCUUGAACUUAGAAAAGGAAAAGGAAUAAUGUGUGAAAACAAAUAGGCGUUUUCCAUUAAGCAAAAGAGAAUUUGUUUGAAGAAAAAAAUUGUCAUUUUUUUGUUUGCAUAAAAGAAAAUAAACAUUAACAAAGAGAUUUGGAGAUCUUUACUUGGAAAAGAAAGCUAUAGAAUAUACCUAGUAUGGAAGCUCCCUUAGUCUAGUGGUUUAACUAAAUGUUCAUCAAUGCUUCUACAUUAGGAGGUCUGGGGUUCAAAAACCCGAGUAACGCAAAUUAUAGAGAAAUAUGGUUACAAGAGGUCUUCAGCAUGGUGCAUGGCGUAUCAUCGAACAUGGAUCUCAUAGAGCAGCUCGGAGUAAUGCAGUCAGACGUGCAGUCUCAUAUAUGAUAGAAUUAUCGACUGUAAAAUCAUCUAUGUAUUAUUUCUCAUCAUUGUAAUGACAUAAUUAAUCAUACGUUAAAAAUAAAAAGAAUCUACCUAGUAUAACUAGGUUGGAGAGUUUUCCAAGAGAUUAACACAGAGAAAAGUAUUCUUAGCAAAAAGGGUUUCAUUACUUGUAUGGUGAGUGAAAUAUAAAAGGCUAAGAAGAAAGAGUUUCUUAGGAUCAUGUGUUAGAUCAUAGAAAUGUGUGAGUCUAGUGUUUCCUGAUUAAUUAAGACUUGUAAGUUUACUUGGAAGAGAUCUAGUAAUGACGUAUGUCUUUGUUGAGAAAUUCUCUUCUGUUUUUGUGUUCAUUUACUGUAGUAUUUCUUGAGACAGUACUCGUACUACUCUAUGACGUAGUUUCUAUAUUCUAGCCAUGAUAUUGCAAAGGUUAUUUUUCCUAAUUAUAAUUUUAUGUAACUAUUCUAUUACUCAUAAUUCCCUUUAUUUAAAAUACACUUAUACUAAGUUUUUUAAUUAUAAGAAAUGGUUAGUGCCCUAUACUAAAAAACUAUCUUGGAUCCCCCCUUGGUUGUCAGGGCCAGCUCAAAGACAUGGACCAGCAGUGCACCCGUUCAGAGCCCACGUACAAAAAGGCCAGUACCAACGUACAAUAGGACCCAUAUAUUCAACCUGUUGAAUACUUAGAAGGCCUAUUCUAAAAUGUUCCAACCGUGUUCUUCUUUAAAUUUUUACUAGACUUUGAUCCGCGCUUUCAAUUAAUUAUUAUUAUUUUUCUUCAAAGCGCGGAUUUAUUAUUAUUUUUUUUCAAUUAAUUAUUUAGUAAAUAUCAUAUUUUCAUAUAUUUGUAUUUUAUUUUAUAAAAGACUUAAACUUUUUAUCUUUAUUUAUCGUAUUUCAUUUUAAAUGACUAUUUAUGUUUAAAAAAUUAAAAUUUAUUUCUUUAAUGAAUUAAGUUUGUAUAACUCUGAUAAAUUAAUUUUAUUAUGUAGUUAAUAUUUUAAUAAAAAAAUAUAUACUUUUAAUAAAGAUUUAUACUUUUCAAUGAAAAAAAUCAAUUUUUUUUUAUGAAUGCUUAAAUUAUAUUAAGAAAAGAAAAAAAAUAAUAAUUAAGAAUAGUUGAAAAAAAAUUAUUUGAACUUGAACUCAACAGCCCAAAGGAAAAAAAAUGUGAGAACUGAAUCUGAUUUCUUAAUCGGCCCAAAUGGCCCAAAAGAGAUCUGAUGUGGGCUGGAUCCAAAAAAAAUGAUCCAAUAUAGAUGUGUUAUUAAUAUUAUUUGAUUGUCAUUAAUGAAACAUGCAAUGUUAAUAAAUAAAAUGGCAGGCUAAAGUAAAAAGGACAAUAGGAUCCUGCUUUAAUAGUAUAGACUUUAUUUUUGUUUUUUUUUCAAUUGACAAAUAUUUAGUAAAUGUCACAUUUUCAUAUAUUUAUGUUUUAUUUUAUAAAAGACUUAAAAAUUUUAUCUUUAUUUAUCGUAUUUCAUUUUAAAUGACUAUUUAUGUUAAAAAAAUUAAACUUUAUUUUUUUAAUGAAUUAAGUUGGUAUAACUCUGAUAAAUUAAUUUUAUUAUGGAGUUAAUAUUUUAAUUAAAAAAUUAUAUACUUUAAAUAAAGAUUUAUACUUUUCAAUAAAAAAAUUCAAUUAUUUUUAUGAAUGCUUAAAUUAUAUUAAGAAAAGAAAAAAAUAAUAAUUAAGAAUAGUUGAAAAAAAAUUAUUUGAACUUGGACUCAAUGGCCCAAAGGAAAAAAAAAGUGAGAAUUGAAUCUGAUUUUUUAAUAGGCCCAAAUGGCCCAAGAGAGAUUUGAUUUGGGCUGGAUCGAAAAAUAAUGACCCAAUAUAGAUUUGUCAUUAAUAUUACUUAAUUGCCCUUAAUGAAACAUGCAAUGUUAGUGAAAGAAACAUGCCCCUAAGGUAAUUAUGACAAUAGGAUCCUGCUUUAAUAGUAUAGAUAUAAUUGUUUGGCAGCACUGUAAAAAAAAAAGCAUCAAAUUUAUGUUAAAAAUAUUGGGCGGAGCGGACCAUUGCGGUAGUAUAUCAUUUUUAUAGUUUUCUUGUUGAUUUGGGUUUUAUACAUGUAUAAAAUAAAUAAUGAAAACUGAGUGGUUUAAUUUGGACCAACUUAUUUUAAAUCAAGAUUUAUUUGUAUGCUUAUUUAUCUUUAGAAAUUUAUCCAUUACCAUUGCCUGCAUUAUUGUGGAACUGUUUAGUUUAUGAUUUAUUGUAUACGUCAAUCCCUUCGUGGUAAUCGGUAUUCUAGAACGGCUCUUUAGAAGUGUUAAAAAGAGAUUGAAGCUUUUGUUCAGGGUUUAGGGAACACGAUUUAAUAAACCGCUGGGUACACUAACCGGGAACUCAUCCGGUUUAUUUAGUCAUGUCUGAUUCUCACAUUACACUGAUUUGAUUAUGGUUUAGGUUCAAAGUUAAAUUUGUUAUGCGUUUAAUUUUUUUUUUAGGUUUUGAAUUAUACACACAACUUUAUUUUUUGUACACUUUAUUUUUUGUACAUAAACCAAAUAGCAACGCUAAAUAAUCUUUAUGUAAGGUUUAUAAAAAAAAAACAUAUAUGCUAUAGUUGAUUUUUUUUUAUUUUGAUGAUUAACAUAAAUCAACUAAUUACAGUUGUGUACAAAAGUUAAAUAUCAAUCUAUAAUAUUUUUAUAGAAACCAUUUAAAUGAAUAUAUGCACUAUAUAUGUAUUAAAUUAUAUAAUAUUUUCGUAAACACUUAUAUAUAUUUAGUUGACAUAUUCAUAAAUUUAAUAUAAUUUCUGUAAAAAGUAUUUAGACACAUUAUUUUGUGUGCUAUAUACUUUCAUAUUUAAUAAUUCAUAUUUUAACUGCAUAUGAUUAUAAAUGGUAAUGGUUAUUCAUAAUUCCUUAAUAUCAAUAAAAUAUCAAACAUAUUUUUUUUGUUCUUACAUAUACAUGUAUGCAUUUAUAUAUUUUAAAAAUUUAAAUGAAAAUUUUGCUGAUACAAUAACAAAUAUAAAAAUUGACAAUAUUAGUUUUAUAUUUGAACUAAAUGGUAAGAAAGAACCGAAAAUCGAAUGAAGAUACAAAAAAUAAGCGCAAAACAGGAAUACUCUUAUAAUUUUUGUAGCUGUCACAAAUUUUCAUAAAAUUUAAAUUACAUUAUAUUUAUUAAAGUGAUGAUAUUCAUUUUUAUUUUUGUAAACAUGAUAUUUAUUACUUAUUUAUAAUAAGUUUUAUUUUUUAGAUAUUUAGUUUUCAUUAAAAAAAUUCAACAUUUAUUUAAAUAUAAUAAUUUAUUAAAUUAGUUUGAUCUGCAUUUGUUGUGUUUGAUCUUCAUUUUUGUUUGAUCUGCGUCACCCAUUAUAUGGAAAAUCCAUUUGGCGUCAACUUUUCAAAUGUCUUCUACUUUGGAUUGUUCAUGUAUAAAUUAUGAAUCUUGUGUUUUGAACUUUUGAAGAUAUUAUAUUGUAUAUAGAAAGGAAUCUAGUUCUAGUUAUACAAUAUAAUUUUAAAAGACGUUGAUUCCUAAAUAAAGGAAGAAAUAUAUACUUGAUGUUCAAGUAGCCUUUUAAGAGAAAUCACAAAAAUUAUACUAUAAGUGUUUCUCAUGAAUUUUAUUUUAAUUUUACCAAGAAAUAUAUACUUGAUAUCUCAUGACAAUACUUAUACCUGUAAUUUCAUUUUUGUUAAUAGUAUUUUAGGUAUAGAGAUUUUGUAGUCUUUCCACAUCUUUUUAAAUCUGCAUGAAUCAAUCAUUAUUUAUUAGCCAUGUAAUAUAAUUUCUUCUAGCAUGCAAAUGCUACAAAAAUAAAUAGAGAUUUUGGAAGACCAGCAUAAGAGACAGAAAAUUUGUAGUAAAAAUUAUAUGCGUACGCUGUUAACAUAAAUAACUAAGAAAUUCAUUAUUUUUUUGGUAAUAAGAUAUUAAAUUAAGAAGCAAGUGCAGAUGAAUGAUAAGUAGAAGUAUAGGACACAUGGAUCUGUCAAUUAAUCCAUUCCAAUAGACUCAACAUCACAGAAACCUAAAAGUCAUACAAAACCCCAAUUGAAUAUGCUGCAACGUGCAAAGUUUACAGAAGUCGGAAUGUUAAAUAGUUGAGAAAGAGCACUAAAGAUUAUUCAAAUAAAAUUGAACAUAAAACCAACCCAAUGUCUGGAAAGUAGAUGACUAAUAUAAAUUGGUCAGACCAAAGUACCUCAGACAGCCGCACCUGCUUCUGAAAAUUUCCACUCACCAUACAAAGCACCUUCUCGUUCUUUUACACUGCACAAAUAGUAAAGAAGGUUUUAAGAAUGAUCAAUUUUCUGGUCUGGUGUCUCUUGUUCAUUAGCACAUUUACAAUUAAACAUUUGUGUACAGGAUGAAAAACGUAUAAUCUUGAGAGAAAACAUUGCAUGUGAGCAAAUGAGGCCUGAUAGAUAAAAACCAUAGUAGAAUUAGAGAACAGAGUGAGAUCUAAAGAGAUUAAUAGAGAGUAAAAUAAGAUAAAGAAUCAUAUGAAUUAACAAUUUUUUUCGGAGAAGAAGUCUUGCAUGUCCACAUCGAGUUUGUGGAUUACUGGAUUAGAGAAGGAAAAAAAUGUGUUUUUUAAGAAAUCUGCAGUAAUAGAAUAUCAUUGCACAAGUAUAAAUGAUAUAGUGGAAGUAGUUAUUCGGAAAUUGCUAGUUCAUGGAGGUGUGAAAAGAAGAACCGUCCUCGAGGUGGAUUGAGAGAAUAUUUUUGAUUUUCUAGUAAAAACUUAAAAUUAAAACGUAAGUGGGAACAUUUAGUCUUUUGUAUGUUUAUUCUUUCCUUUUUAAAAAUUUUUAUUUUUAAAUUAUGUGGUAAAAUUCUAGAAUAUGAUUGGUUGAGUGACUUUUGCUUUCAUAUUUUUCUAACGCUUUGUUUUGUUAAAACUGAUUUAGAACACAUUACAUCAUUGGAGAGUAAGAUUUAACGAUAACGAGAAACUAAUGGUCUUUCUACACUAGAAACUAAUGAAGACAAACAACAUUGAUGACAUUUUAGUAAUACAAACUGAUCUUGUUUCAAAAAAAGAUAUAUUAGGUGUUUCCGUUCCAAUAAUAGCAGACGAACUUCUAUUACCUUCAACUGAAACAUGACAAUAUCUCAUCAUCUAAAUAAAUCUUCUUCUUCGGUUGUCUUUCUCAAUUCUGUCUCAAGUUAGCUUUAGUUAAGAUACUGUUGAACAAAACUGAAAUACAAAAUAUAAAUCAGAUAGAUAGUUGGGAUUGAUGGUUCAUAUCCAAUAUAACCACCCAAAAUCCCAUAAGAAUAUGGAAGUAAACCAAUCCUAAAGCAAAACUUGAUCCACCUCCUUGCAUAGAAAAAAAUUGAAAGACAAAACCACUUCAGCACCAAUAACUCACUCAAUCGAAGACCAAACACACUCAAAGAAAAAAAGAAGCUGCAUGAUAACUCAUCAGAAAGACGAACCCAAAACGGAUCUUUAAGCCAGUGCAAAUGAACUUGUUAUCAGCAAAUCACUUAUAGAGAGUUAAUAUUAGACAAAUCGAGAGCAAAAAAACUAAUCUCCUUUCGUCAUUAUACAAUCGAUGUUGCCUAUUUGUAUACAUAUAAAGUCUUAAAAAUUAUUAAAAUGAGAUGUAAUACGUUAACUCUUUAACAACGAUGAUAUAUUUAAUAGACCAAUAUUUUUAUUAAUCAUUUUAUAAUCGAUAAAGAUUGUAGUAUUACAAAAUGUUAAAAUCAUUUCAUAAACAAACAUUAUUAUAAUAACUCAGCCCGCGCACGCGCGAAGAUUAUCAUCUAGUAUACAGAGGAUUUAGUAAUGACAAUAAAUGAAAAUUUUCAUUAAUAAGGAAAAUGCCCUUUUCCGUCAUUUACCAAAUACUAGUACUUACUUUUAUUUUAUGCUUAAACGCCGCAGUUAAAAAAGAAUGGACACAUGCAUGCUAUGUUUUAUUUAGGGGCACAACCUAUGUAUAUUUUUUUUUCUUCCAAUUUUAGGGGCACAACCUAUAUAUUUAGAUAAUGGAAAAAAGUUGAGUUUUUUAUUUGAAAAAGAGGAAAUGCUUGCUAACUUGAGAUGAUGGACCAGAUUCUAAAGGCUUAUUGUGAUUGCUGUCUAUGUAUAAUUUAUUAAUAAUACCAAUUGUUCCACAUAUAAACUUUCAGUAAAUAAAUUUGAUAACUAAAAUUUCAGUAAUCUUACUUUUAUAUAUACAAGUAACAAAAAAAAAACAACAUUUAAAUCUCUCUAUAAUAUUAUUUGAGAAGUCAGUUUCUUAUGUGUCGCGCUCACGUUAACUCUCACGAUGGUUUAUUACACUUACACCCUUAAUGAAUAAAAAAUAUUAUUAGUGAAUUCUAUUUUUUAUUAUUAGUGAUUUCCAUUAAUAACAAUUAUUUAUGUUUCUUUUUUCUUAAUAUAACUGUGAUUAACUUUUUACUGUAAUUUUCCUUUUUAUUAAAACAUAAAUAAUAAAAAGAAAAAAUAUAAAACAUAAACAUAGACAUUUAUAUAAAACGAAUUUAGUUUUUUUUAUUCUUUAUGUUUCCUACAACAAAAAUAAAAAAAAAUCAAUAACUGUUAAAAAUUUAUACUUAUAAAUAUAUAUAAAAAAACUUCACAAAACUGAAAAAUAUAUUAAAUUCAGAUAUAUUUUUCUAAAAGAGAAUAAUAUUUUUAUUAUAAAUAUCUUUUGAUUUAAUAAUUAAUAAGAAAAUAAUUUGGAACAACAUAAAUGGUUAUUUAGUAGAAGUCAGUUUCUUAUGUGUCGCGCUCGAGUUAACUCUCAUGGUGGUUUAUUACACUUACACCAUUAAUGAAUUAAAAAUAUUAUUAGUGAUUUCCAUUUUUUUAUUAUUAGUGAUUUCCAUUAAUAACAAUUAUCUAUGUUUCAUUUUUCUUAAUAAAACUGUGAUUAACUUUUAAUGCAAUUUUCUUUUUUAUUAAAACACAUAAAUAAUAAAAAUAAAAAUUUAUAAAAUAUAUAUAAAAACGAAUUUAGUUUUUUAUUCUUUAUGUUUCCUACCACAAAAAUAAAAAAUUCAAUAACUUUUAAAUCUUUAUACAUAUAAAUAUAUAUAAAAAUAACUUCACAAAAACUUAAAAAUAUAAUAAUUCAGAUAUAUUUUUAUAAAAUAUAAUAAUAUUUUUAUAAAGUAUCUUUUGAUCUAAUAAUUAAUAAAAAAAUAAUUUGGAACAACAAAAAUUAUUAUUUAAUAUCUUAUUUUUUCCAAAAAUUAUUAUAUAUUAUGAAUAUUUUAAAACCAAAUAAAUAUUUUAUAAUGUGAGGCUACAACAAUAUAAAUAGUAUUUCUUAUUUAUCAAUAUAUUUUUGAUUGAAUGAUUAGAAUUUUCAUAACAAAAUUUAUUAACAUUUCAAAUUUUUAGUUUUAUCGAAAACAACAUAUAGCAAAUUAUACACAAUCUUACAAAAUAUAUUUUUCAUCCUAAGAUAAAAGUAACAAGAUGAGCUUAUUUUAGUUUAACUGUAACCAAAAAAAAUCGAUACAAUUCAAUAUACUAAAUUAUGAAAAACCAAAUCAAACAGUUAUUAAGAUUUAGCUUGUAGUAGUGUUCUGUUGUAUGAAUUUUCAAAAUAUUACAAUUUAUUUUUAUUAAUGCAAUUCUGAUUUAAUAUUUAUUUUUCCUAUUUUCUAAAACAAUAUAUACCCAUUUAUACAAAAAAACACUAAUAUAUUUACAAAUAUAAGAAAAUGAACUUAACUACAUGAAUUUAAGAAAAUAAUAGUCCAAUUUUAAUAUAAUUUGUUUAAUUUAAAUAAUAGAUACAAUUUAACACAAACAUAAAUAUUUGAAACUGUACAAAAUAUUAUAUGUGAAAUUAUAUAUCCAGUUAAGAUGAGAACAUAAUACUGCAUAACAAACUUACUUUUUCAAUAAUAUUAUAGAGAUUAAAAAUUAACUUAAAAGUUAUAAACAAAGAAUUUUCUUUUAUCUAUUGUUUAAAUUCAAUCAUUACGUAAAUGUUUGUACCUGUGCAUGAGCACGGGGAAAUUACCCAGUUAUCAGCCUUGUUCAAAAAAUCGUCCGCAGAGCCGAUUACUCGGCCGAGUAUACGUGAUACGUAAGUGGAACGUGGCGAAUUGGGCCAAAUCGGAUGCUUUCUACGCUGAGCCCUGUACGAACGCUUAAUACGUAGAAGUAGUUGUAUUAUUAGUGAAUUUGCUUGGCCCAACUCGUGAUUUCCUUCUUAAUAAUUUAUGUUAGCAACCCAAAGCUCAGCCAAUCGUAAGUUCUCAUAUCUUUUCACACAUAAAACAACAUUCCUCUUCUUUUCUACUUACAUUUCUCCUGUUUUUUUUUCUAAACUUCAAAUAGCGAAAAACAAACCCCCAAAUCUCUACAAUUUGGUCUUUUUAUAAAUUACUAGGUCCUUGUCCGCGCUACGCGCGGAUAGUAUUUUGAUUUUUUUUCAUAUUUUUGUACUAUUAUGUUAAUUGUUUAGUUUUAUAAAAUGUUAUGUUUUUACUGUAAAUUUGGAAUUAAAAAUCUAAUUUUUCCUUACUGUAAAGUAAGUUAAUUUUUUUGAAUCUUACUACAACACAUUAUACACGAAGAAAAUAUAGUUGGUCUUUAUAUUCUUAUUUGGUGUAAUAUUAAAAAAUUUGAUGUUUGUUUAAAUGAUUUUUUAAAAUUAUAUAUUUUAGGAUUGAUUUUCGUGACUAUAUUUUAUAAUUGGCUAAAAAAAAUUGUUUGUCCCAUAUAGACAUCUACAUAAAUGUGGAUUUCUGAUAAAUUUGUUCAUUGAGAUAUUUAGUUUCACUUUUAACUUUAUUCUCUUUUUUGGCACCCUCAUGCUAGCUUGUGGGGCUAGCCAACUUGGUGCAAAAGGGUUUACAAAAGCUGAUCGAGAUGCGCGUGAUCGGACACCUUUUGUUAGGCUAUUCGUACGAAAUUUUAAAGAUCUAGGAAUAUAAGCAAUAGAAAGUUCAGAAAAUUCUUUGGAUACAGCCUGUAUUUCGUCGAGCUCCGAGUCCAAUGCAGGUUAAUUUUCCUCCUUUUGAAUGAGUAUAACCAGUUGUUCACAGUCGAUUGAAAGACCAUCUCUCUGUGUCCAAACUUCAGUAUCACUUGCAUUACCCAUAGCAAACCUUCAGCUUCCGCCUGCAGUGGUGAUUUGGUGCGUGUAUAUCUGCCUUUGCUCCAAACAUCAUUAGAAAGUCACCAUCCAUUAACACAAAGCCAAGUCCAGAUAUGUCUCUUUCAUUUAUCCAGGAUGUCUAGCAGGAGCGUUUUUUUCCGGAGGAACAGUUGUGUCUGUUACCUCAACUCCCAUAUCAAUCUCCAUAAACUCGUCUAUACGUUGAGCUAUCCUCCAACACUCUGCUUCAAUUUUAUUCGCUAAUGGGAAAGACAUAAUUCCUAUGACACUAUUAAUGAUUGUUUUUUUUUGUAACACCGGUACGGCAAACUUAUGUUUUAUUUAACAAAACUUUUAUUUUAAUUUCGUAUUAAAGAAUCAAUCAUAUUUUAUAUUAUCCAUAAUUUUAGUAAAUUUGCUUAUUUGUCAUGUUUUUUUUAGGUUUUAGCUAAAUCAUUGAUUUAUUAUUUAUUUUUAGCUAACUCACUAAUUUAUUAAUUUAAAAAAUAUCCUUAAUUAAUAUUAUAUAUAUUAAAAAUGAAUUUUAUUUUAGUAAUAUUAAAUUUCUAUUUUAUAUUAAAAUUUAGUUAGUUUUUCUUAUUUGUCAUAUUUUAUUAGGUUUUAGACUUUUUGAUAGGUUAUUGAUUUAUUAUUAAUUUCUAACUGAUUCGUUAAUGUGUUAAUUAAAACAAUACCCUUAAUGAAUUAUAUAUAUAAUUUAAUAAAUUUUAUUUUAAUCAUAUGAAGUUUAUAUGUUAUAUUAAUAUUAAAUAUUUGAUUCUAAAAUAAUAUAAUAAAAUUAUAGAAAAAUUUAAAAAAUAAGACAAUUUUAUAUAUUUUUUGUUGCUAUCUGAAAACAAUAUUUUUAUUAUAAAAGUUAAAAAAAUACAAAAAAUUAUAAUUAAAUAUUAUUCAAGAAACAAAAUUUAUAUAAAUAUAUUUUCUAAACUAUUUCUAAGAUUUGAGUGUUUUAAAAAAUUUAACACGGGAUGUUUAAAACACGGGAUUAUGCUUGUGAGAGAGUGGCUGGGAAUGGGCUUCGAGAUGGGUCGAAUGGACUUUAAAAAUAACUUUUUUUUUAACUCAAACCCAAUCCGGAUGACAUGGCAUCUUGAUUGGUUCAUAAUAUUUUACCUAUGUGGCAUGGCUUAGAAAUGAGGGAUUUAGUCCCUUUUAUAUAGUAGGAUGAAUCUAAUAUUGAUGAUGUAAUAUACAUAAAUAUGUAUUAUACGUGUGUAUGUAGAGUAUUAUACAUUAAAAAUACAAAAAUUCCUUCCCGAGUACUCCCCGAUUUUUCUCCGCGUUUUCAAUAAAUCGCUAGGCCCGUAUGCGCCGCACGCGUAGCGCCUAGCGAGUUUCCGAACAAGGGUUAUCAGUAAUCUGUAAGCGAGCAUUUAUUUUGAUUCUUUAUUUAUAAAAAAAACAGUACCUCUUAUAUAUUAAUUGAGUAACAUUGCAACAUUGUUUUGUAAUCAUGUGUCACCGUGAAAAUAAAAUUCAAAAUUCAUAGAAAAAUAGGUUGGCUCAUCUUAACUUAUAUUAUAUUUUUUAUUAAACUAACUAUUAAAUUGAUAAAUAGUAUACAAUAGAAUAUUCUCGCAUUUUCAUUAAACAAAAGCUACGGAAUUGUCUAAUAUGAUUAACAUAUAUAUAUGACAAUUAACGAUUAUGAAUAAUAAUUAUUUGAUAACAAUUUUUGUAUCUUAGCUCUUUUUGUUUAUUUUAUAUUAUCGAAAAGUCGCACAUUAGAAAUUUUGUGUUUAUCAUAUGAAUAUGAAUUCUCAAUAAUAAAUAUCUAUAUUAAAAUAUGCUAUAUAUAUGUCUAUGUCAUUGAAAUUUAGUUAUAUAUUGUACCAUAUAAAAUAAAUAAAAUAUUUUUUUUGAUUAGUUUACCAAAAAAAUAUCGUAAAUAAACAAGAUGUAUUGUUUUAAUUUAUAUGAUUAUUCUAAUUUAAUUAUAUACAUAAUACGUAAAUGAAUACAAAUAAAUAUAAUUUAUAAAAAAAAUUAUAUAUAACAUUCAUCCCGCAAAAUUGUGCGGAUCUUAACACAAGUAAUAAAAUAUAAAGAAACAUCAUUUAAUUGAUCAGUAAUCUGUAAACCAGCAUUUAUUUUGAUUCUUUAUAAAACAAUUGAAAUAUUUAUAAAGAAUUGUAAUAAUGCAUUGAACGAUUAAUCCGUCACCACUAUACAUCUUACGAAUCCAUUAAUUUUAUUGGAUUUCUCUGUAAUGAUAGUCGUCACCUUUCGAAAUCGAUCCUGACCGUCCAAGAUCAAAAUCAGUAUUAUCAAGUUUGAUGAGCCUUCCUUUUAAGAAGAUGAACAAGAACGUUGUCAAAAAAAAAAAAAAGAAGAUGAACAAGAAAGAUGUUUGAUCUCUUUAUACAUACCGAAAGAAACAAUUAUUCGGUUGUUCGUUUUUGUACCCAGCCACUAGCCAUCAAGGAACAUUAGGAAUGAUUGGAAAAAAAAUGAAUAGGAAUAAAAUUUUGGGAACGACGAGGAACAAAGGUUCCUUGUCAAAAUUAACAAGGAACAAAUCAAUACUAUUAAAAGGGAAUGAGUUUUAAUAAAUCUACUUAAAAAAGUUGUUUGGACGAUUUCAUUAAUUAAUAAUAUUUUGGUCUUACUUUAAAUUUCAACUAACAAUUAGUUACCUUAUAUUUAUCUAACAAUCAUUCAGUCAAUAUUUUUAUGUAUUAGACCCUUAUCUUUUUGUUCACUAUUUGAUUAUACCACAUAUAUACUUUAUUUAUUAGACCGCAUCAUUUGGUACACGAAAAUAUUAUACCACAUGAUACACUUCAUUUUAUUAAAACACACUUCUUAUCAAUACAUCACUUAUUAAUCCCAACCACGGGUUGUAGCAAUAUUAAAGGUUUAACGUUCAAAUAUGGGUAAUUCAUUACAACAUUAAAUGAAACUAACAUGUAUUGUAAGUCAAUUUCUAUAAUUUUAUUAAAAGAGAAACUGGUUUUUGCUCAUUAACAAUAAUAUAGGCAUUGGAAACAAUAGAAAAUAUAUUGGAAACGUUUCACUCAAAUAAAUACUGAAAUUUUGGUUGUUAAAAUCAAUGCUGAUAUUGCCUAGAUUGUAACAAUCAGUUUGAAAAACAAAAGAGAAUAUAUUAUCGAUAUGCUAAUUAUAUUCAUUUACUUGAUUAACACUUUUAUUGAUUUCGAAUUCAUUUUAAAGAAAGUCGAUUGUUUGAAUAUAUUUUCAGAAUAUAUUGUAUUUUAUUGGGAAUAUAUUAUAUAUAAAUUUUGUAAAUAAAUUACUGAAACGAUUCUUUUUUUAUUUAGAAUUUUAAUCCACAUAGUAUUGGUUUCAAAGAUAUAGAAUCUGCUUGGCUAUUUAUGAAAUUUAUUUUAAUGUUGGUUUCGUUUUUUCAGUUUGGUAUGAUUUAUUCUCCAAUAAAUGUUAUCAGAUCAAUGCUUUAUCUUAUUUAGAAAUUCAUUAAAAUUUUAUUUAAUUUCAAAAACAAACCCGCGCUUUUAAGCGUGGGUCAAAAUCUAGUUUGUAUUAUAAUUCUCUACAAAAAAGAGAAUAAGAAGGAAUGAAGUGGAAAAAAUAUUCCUUACGGAUAGUAUCAUUUUUGAGGAACAUUAAGGAAUGCAGUGUUCCUCUUCGUUCCCUUGGUUACCAUUCAAACCCUUAGAUGUUCAUUUGAAUCAACAUUUACAUUCUGUAUCUAAAUGCAAAAAUCUAAAAUAUUUAAAGUAUCUAGAUAUUUAAGAUGUAAAAUGUGGAUAUAAUAUUUGCAUAUAAAAAUCAAAAGACCUAAUUACCUUUCAGUAUAAAUAUAAAAUCAAUUUUUUCUGCCAAAACCGUAAAAUGAGUUUUUUCGUCAAAAUUGAAAUCAUGUUUUUCGUCAAAAAGGUAAAAUUAAGUUUUCCGCCAAAAUUGUAAAAUUGAUUUUUCACACCAAACGGAAAAUUUAGUUUUUUUUGCCAACCCACAAAAUCACAUCUUUUCUCGCCAAAAUCACAAAAUUUCGCUUACCCGCUAAAACUGCAAAAUUAAAAAUUUUGCGUCAAAAUCACAUUUUUUAGCAAUACUGCAAAAUUGAAGUUUUUGCCAAAAUCGUAAAAUUAAAUUUGCCCACUAAAACUUCAAAAUCAUUUUUUUCCCUCCAAAAACCAGAAAAUUGAGUUUUUCUACCAAAAAUGCAAAAUUGGAUUUUCCCGUCAAAACUGCAAAAUAGUUUUUUCACCACAACCGCAAAAGUACGUUUUCUGUCAUAUUAGAAUCGAGUUUUUCCAUAAAACUGUAAAAUUAAGUUUCCUCACCAAAACCUUCGAAUCACGUUUUCAGCAAAUCACAAUAUUGUGUUCUUCCGUCAAAACCGUAAAAACAUUUUUUGCAAAACCACAAAAUUGAUUUUUCCGCCGAAACCUAAAAAAAAAUGCCAUCAAAAAUUCAAAUUAGGUUUUUGUUAAAAUAUGAAAAAAUCAAAUCAUGUCUAUUUAUUAUUUUAAAAUUAAUUUAUUAUUAAUAAUACUAUGUAAGGAACCCGUGCGAUAUCGCAUGGAAACUAAUUUUACAAAAAUAAGUUCACCAUAUUUUAUAAAAUAAUGUUUUUUAGAAAAACAUUAUACAAUUGUAUUCGAAAAAAUACAUGUGUUACAAAUUUAUCUGGCAUGCAACUAUAUUUUUUUAUUGAUAAUACGAUAAUUUUUUUAUAUAUGUUUGGUUAUAAUAAAAUUAUAAAUAUGUCAGUAUCAAAUAAGAUAUAUGUCUAAUUAUCCGCUUAACUAAGUUAUUUAAAAAUUUCAAAAAUUUAAAACUACUUAAAAAGCAAAGACAUUCCAUGUGGUCAUUUACUAAAUUAAUAAGGUAAAUUAUAACAACAAGACAAAUAUGAUUGGUUUGAAACCAUGUAAGACAUGUGUUAUCGGAAACAUGAUUAUAUUAGGCCUGGGCAUUCGGGGUCCCAAUCGGGUUUCGGUUUUAUCCAAUCGGGUUUCGGUUUUUCGGGUUCAUCAGAAUCAGGCCCAUUCGGAUUAUAUGAAAGUUCGGUUCGGGACCGGUUCGGGUUCUAUCGGGUUCGGAUCGGGGUUAGUGAAUCUUCAAAGAACCGGUACAACCCAAUAUACUUUCGGGUUCGGGUCCCAAUCGGUUUUUCGGUUUAAAAGUACCUGAUUUUUACCUAUUUUAUAACCAAAACAUGAGUAAAAUCGGUUCUUCAGUUUUAAAAUAUCUGAUUUGUACCUAUUUUGUAACCAAAACUUAAGUAAAAUCGAUUCAAAAAUAAGGAACAUCAACC